rnacentral:lncRNA from 1 species
UUUUUUUUUUUUGUAAACUGGCCUUCUUAAUUUAAAUGCAAAAGAAAUAAAAUACAUCAAGCCCAAGGCUUAAGUUUGUUAUGAGUAAACCCAGUGUUAUACUCUUAAUGAAAACACAUAUUUUAGGAACUGAAGCCCAAGUAACAGUCGUAGCCCAGAGUUGAGAAUCAAAGUUGAAACCGUGGAAAGUGGAGAAGAAUUGUCGAGAAAGUCUGCACAUUGUCUUGGCCAUGAGAGAUUAUGAACGGAGGAACCAAAGCUGUGUCAUCGCGGAAGACGCCCUAGGGUUUGCAUGUCAGAAGCUUUGGAGACGGUUACGGAUUUGCUUGUCUAUGAGUGAUAUUAACGCACCCGGAGGUCUGAAGAUUUGGUGGUGGAGACGUGUGUUACGCUCAUUCCAGAGCCAGUAAAUCGUGGCUUGAGUUGCUAGUAGUCGAAGACGAAGAGAAUCGCGAUUCCCUCGGAGAGCCAGGAGUUGAUUGAGAUUGUCGUCCCAUGAGGCAUGAGCUUGCAAAUCGCAUCGAUAUGCUAUCUGAUUCCAGACCGUGACACUGUAACGACACUCAAAGAAAAGGUGAUUUCUACUCUCAUGAUCAGUGUUGCAAAAUAAGCAUAACGGAUCUACAUUAAGACCCCAUCUUGUUAACCUGUCUCUUGUAGGACAUCGAUCCAGUAGGACUAACCAAGUGAGGAAGCAGUGUCGGGGGAUUCCGUAUGAGAACCAGACAAUCUUAGCCCAAGGAACUAGUGGCUGCGGACCCUUGAGGUAAGUAUAUGUUUCACCAGUUCUGUAACUGUGUCUAACUCUUCCAUCAAUCUCCCAUUCGAAAUAAUCCUCCUCAUCUAGUAAUUCUACGGUAGUAAGGUGUACCUGAAGCGCUAAUUGAUUGUCAGUUCUUGCUGCAGGGAUAUUCCACCGGCCUUCAGUAUAGAGAGACGCCACCGUUGCUGUCCUCGAGAUUCCAAGUCUGGUUGAAUUACCAUUCAAGAAUGUGUGAAGAUUUCCCAGAGGUGACCAGUUAUCAAACCAAAACCGUGUGGUUUGUCAAUUCCCAAUACGUCGUUUAAGCAGCGGGUAGACAAUAGCUCUAGCCUUGAUCAUCUUGUUGACUAGCCAAGAAUGGUUGGUGCUUGUUCCUAUCGUCCAGUAGUUUGAUACGUCGCCUUUUAGGAUUACCUCCUUAAACCAGCAGACCCACACAGAAUUCGGGCGAAAGAAGAGCAUCCAGAUAAGCUUCAGUAUGCACGCAAGGUUCCAAGUAUGAAGGUCUUUAACUCCCAGUCCUCCCUGAUCUUUGGUAAGUGUUACUGUCUCCCAACUUACUCUAGCAGUAUGGUGACCUUCGCUCUUGCCUUUCCAAAGGAAUAUGCCACACAGUGAAUUGAUUUUAUUGAUGCAUGACUUUGGUAGGAUGAAGCUGGAACACCAAAAGGUCGUAACACCCGAGAUCACCGUUUUUAUCAAGAGUAACCGCCCCGCAAAUGACAGAGCCUGAGCUGACCAGGAGGAUAGACGCUUCUUAAUCUGCUGAAGUAGAGGCUCGCAGUUCUGCAAGUUGAGCUUUUUCGUACACAGAGGGACUCCGAGAUAUCGCAUUGGUAAUGAACCACACGGCAUCCCCGUCGAAACUUGGAUAGUUGCAAUAUCUUGCUCUGUAAGUCCCGAAGCAAAAAAACUAGAUUUUUGCAAACUCACAGCCAGACCUGAUCUCUUUUCAAAUUCGUGCAGUAGCUGGAGCACCCUCUGAACGGACUCAAGUGACCCAUCAAUGAAGAUCAGUAGAUCGUCGGCAAAGGAGAGAUGAGUUAGCUUCGUUUUAUGGCACUGAUGAUGGUAAGAUAUAUAUCCUGCCCUCGCUUCUUUAUCCAACAUCAUUGACAAGUAGUUCAUAGCAAUGACAAACAGGUAGGGAGAGAGUGGGUCUCCUUGCCUUAGUCCCCUUUUUCCUUUGAAGAAACCAUUCACCGUGCCAUUGUAACCCACCAUAAAUGUUGUCGUGCAGAUGCAAGCUUUCAGCAAUCGGAUGAAAGGAGCAGGGAGAUCUAUACUAUCCAACGCUGUGAACAGAAACUCCCAAGAGAGAGUGUCGAAAGCUUUUUCUAUAUCGACCUUAAUGGUAAUCUUCUUAGUUCCUUUGUUCCUGUGGUAGCCAUUCACUAGUUCGCUAGCCAAUACAGUAUUUUCCACUAGGAGUCUACCCUCAACAAACGCUGUUUGAUUGGGCAAGAUUAGCUGACUAAGAAUAGGCUUUAGACGUCUCACCAGCAACCGUGAAAUGACUUUAUAGAGGGUAUUCAGACAGGAGAUAGGACGGUAGUCUGAUAUUGUAGAUGCUCCAGUGAACUUAGGAACCAAAGACAAGAUCGUUGAAUUUGUGGUUUUUGGCAGGAACCCUGAGUCGAAAAAAUCUUGAAUCGAGUUGACACAUUCCGCACCUAGAAGAGACCAAGAAGCUUUGAAGAAUCCAGAGGUGAGUCCAUCAGGCCCCGGAGCUUUAUUUGGGUUAAGGGAAAACAUUAGCUUAGUGAUCUCUUCAUUUGUAGGCAUCAGGAGGAUUGAGUUUAUCUGCUGCUGGCUGCAUCUGACAUGCGUGAGGCUACGAAACCAAUCAGCCGGAGUGUACCAGAGCGAUGGGAGGGAAUCAGGUCCAAGAACACCUUUAAAGUGAGCUAUAGCGUGAGCACUCAUCUCCAGUGGGUCUGUGAUGAGAACACCUGACAAAAGGAGGAACGAGCGGAUUGCAUUGAAGCUAGCUCUCAUUUGGCAGACACGGUGGAAGAAGGUAGUAUUCAGAUCUCCUUCACGAAGCCAUGUUAUUCUAGACUUUUGCUGAAAGAAGCAUUCUUCAAUUUGCCAGAGAAAUUGCCAUUUCAGAUUAAGAUCAUGUUCUUCAGCAAAAUUUUCAGGAGUUGGAUCUGACAAGGCUUGUACCUGCACAAGUUGUAACAAACGGUAAGCUUCAUUAACUCUCUGUUGGAUAUUUGAGAAAUUUUCUUUAUUAAGAAUUUUAAGACUCCUUUUAAUGCUUUUCAGCUUCCAACACAGAGACGCAAAGUUGGCAGACACACUUCCGGCGAGCAACCAUGCAUCAGUAACAACCUCCAGGAAGCUCGGGUGUUUGGUAAGGUAGUUUAGGAAGCGGAAGGGUUGAGUUCCUGCUUUAGGGAGUUGGAAGGCUAGGUCAAUAAGGCACGGGGAGUGAUCUGAAGGGGCAGGAGGGAGGAAAGUUGCAGUGGCAUUAGGAUAACUGGUAAGACACUCACUGUUGAUCAAACAUCUGUCUAGUUUCUUUGCAAUUGGGGAGCCGUCACAUUUGUUUGUCCAUGUGUGAACAGGGCCAUAGAAUCGAAGAUCAAACACUCCCAUCUGUAGUAAACUAUCACGGAAUUGGAACAUUUGCGAAGAAUGUGUACUGUGACAGAAGGAUGAAUGCUCGUAAGGGUGAAGAAUCUGGUUAAAGUCCCCUCCUACCAUCCAAGGCCUUGAAUCCAGAUCAUGAGCAGAAUGCAAGUUCAAAAGCUCCACCCAAAGGUCAGUUCUCUCUUCAAUGGUAUUUGAAGCGUAGAUGGCAGAGUAGAUGAUAGGAGUACAAUUAGGCAGCUCAAUCUCACAAGUAAUCAUUUGCCUUGACUGUGUUAUCACUCGAACUUUUGCUGGAUCCUUCCAAAUAAGCACGAUUCUCCCAUCUUCAUCAGAUGAAUGGUUAGAUAGAUAGUGCCAGUCUCGACAUAGGGUAGACAUCAAACGGGAUAGAGAUAGUUCCUUAAUAUGUGUUUCCAAUAGAGCACCAAAAAUGGGUCUGUGACUAUAAAGCCAAUCCGAAAAUGUCCGAUGUUUUACCGGGUCAUUUAGACCACGGAGGUUCCAAAAAAAGAGUUUUACACUCAUUAUGUAGAAAAAGAGGGUUCCCCAGUAGACUGGAGAGGGUCAGAAACAGUUAGAAGAGGCAAAAAAGGGUUAUUUGUGGAGGUAUUUAUGAAAGGGGAAUUUUCAAGGUACCUAAGGGUACCAAUCACGGGGAAUGAAAGGUCAGGGGACGGUUUAGAAGACUGAUAGAUGAUUUUGGGAGGUGCAGUAGGGGAAAUGGUUGGGGAGGAACGGGUUCUUUUUAAUGAUGGUUUUUGAGGUUUGUCCGAAGAAAUGUGAGCGGUGGAAGGGAAAAUCUUCUGAUUUGGCAUAGGGACAAAAGAGGGAGUAUUGAAAGCAGAGGGGCUAGUGGGAAGUGAAACAGUGUGGGUGGAAAGUAAGGGUUCAACGGUGAUGGGAGGGAAUGGUUUCUUGACAACAUACUGUUUGGUUUUUACAGAUUUUGUUGGAGUUUUUAUCGCCGAGUCUGAGAUCUUUUGCUUUGACUUAUCCACAGGAACUUUUGCUAUAGGAGGUGGAUCCUUUGGCGGUAUGUAGAGCAAACAAUUUUUCAUGAUAUGACCCAACUCAUGACAAUGAGCGCAUGUGGGAGGCAGCCAUGGAUAGUCCACUUGCACUUCAACAACUUCUCCACUCUGCCUUUGAAACUCCACUACAAUCGGNNNNNNNNNNNNNNNNNNNNNNNNNNNNNNNNNNNNNGGAAGAGGCUUGGUGAGAUCUACUUCCACCUUGACAUGAGAUAAGGUAAGACUCACUAGGUUUAGAGUAAAGUCAUCCGUUUCUUUAGGCUCUCCAAUCAACCCCGCAACUAGGCUAAGGCCUUGUUUAUAACGUAGGUCGAGAGGAACUCCAGUGAGGUGAGCCCAAAUCUGGAUAGAGCUAAGAAGAGGUGUUGUGGAGGAAUGCACAGAAGACCAUUGAGCGGUAUGAAACAUCGAAUCCCCCACAUACCAUAUAUUUUUUUCCAAGAUCUUCUGUCGAAGGAAGUCACUAGGGAUCCUAACCAGAACUGAGCGUUGUAGAGGGUUGUUAUGCAUCUCAAGCCUUCUACCUUUACCCCACAUAUGACAGAGAACACUUUGGAUCUGCUUGAAAGGUGGGGGGGGGGGGGGGGGGGGGGGGGGGGGGGGGGGGGGGGGGGGGUACGUACUGUGGGAACCAAAAUUCUCNNNNNNNNNNNNNNNNNNNNNNNNNNNNNNNNNNNNNNNNNNNNNNNNNNNNNNNNNNNNNNNNNNNNNNNNNNNNNNNNNNNNNNNNNNNNNNNNNNNNNNNNNNNNNNNNNNNNNNNNNNNNNNNNNNNNNNNNNNNNNNNNNNNNNNNNNNNNNNNNNNNNNNNNNNNNNNNNNNNNNNNNNNNNNNNNNNNNNNNNNNNNNNNNNNNNNNNNNNNNNNNNNNNNNNNNNNNNNNNNNNNNNNNNNNNNNGGGGGGCGACCGUUAAAAUAACAGAUAAUGAAAUCUUUAUGAAGCUCUGCGCCUUUGUGAAAGACAGAGUUCGGGAUUAGCACACGAGGUCGACCAGUUUCAAAGAUAGUUACUGGAGCGAGUCUCUGGAGAGACUUGUCUCCUCUCACACGAAGAGUUUCCGCUAGAGUAGGAGCAGCAUUAUGGGUUUGGGGUUGGGGUUGGAAAAUAGGAGGUGGAUUUAGUUGUGGGGGGGCAGUGUGUGGCUGAGAGUUGGGAAUGGUGGAUCUUACAGGAGGGGAGAGCGGGAUCAGAAGGAGUUAGGGAGGUAGAGGCACUGUUAGAGAGCAGGGGAGAGUUGUGGUUUGGUUGAAGGAUUUUGAAAUUGGUGGGAUUUGGUUCUGAAUAAGGUAAGUUAAGCUUUUCCAGAGAGGGGGAAGGGUUAGUGGUUGAGGAUGAGGAAAGAGUUUUAGGGUUUCCUGUAGCAGGAACAGUGAGUAUAGAUUCAAUCUCAGCUAGCGAACCAAACUGAGUAGUGGCUUGAGAGAUGGCUGAAGCUGUAGUUGGGUGUUGAGCUUGAGUCAUAACAGUAUCAACAUGGGUGGUAGUGAGGUGGGAUCUACGAGUUUGAGAACGGGUAAGAGGAGGAGUGGAGUCUAAUGGUGGGAAAAGAUGGGGAGAAAGAGGGGACUGAGGGUCAGGGGGGUCAGGUGGUGGUAGGAGAGCUUCUCCGGAGGUUGAAGACGCUGGUUGCACGGCGGAAGCACGGCCAGGAAGGGCCCAACGAGUCUGCAUUGGUAAGCGCGUCAGAGAGAAACUGACUUUUUUUUUCUAUUUUUGUUUUUUGACAGCAAUUUAAAAAUUUGAUGCCCUAGUUAUAAGUUAUAACUAAACUUUUUGUACUGCAUUUUAAGUAUAUAAACAAAAUAAUGCAAUAUAUUAUUAAAUAUUAACUUGCUAUCAAAUAAAACAAAAUACAUACAGAAAAGUUAUUAUUCUUGAGAAAUAAUGUUGGUACUGAUUGAUUACUAAUCUUUGUUCUUGUGGCAUUUUCUAUAAAUAAAUAAAUAAACAUAAACAGUAUAAUAUGAUACAUAUGAUAAAGUUAUGUUAACAUCAACAUCAUUUCCCUUUAUAAAAUGUCUCACGGGAUAUUAGAACCUAAUUUAUGAUAAUUUGUAUGUUCAGAUUUCAUAAAUUCGUAGAAAUGAUAAAAACUUACAAAAAAAAUAUAAGUAGAGCAAAAGAGAGACAUAGAAAUGAUAAGAACCUACUGAUAAUUUAAUUCCAUUGUUAUAGUAUCUCUCUUGUUUACACAUCUAUUUUCUUCAAAAAGAAAAAAUAAAAAUAAAAAAUAAAGAUGGCAAGAAGAACGUCUAUUUAAAAUAAAUAACUAAAGUUUGCUAUCCGAAAAAACUAUCGUUUGCUUUAUUCAAUUGUUUAUUUAAUAUGCCAUUUAAUUUAAUAUUUAAGAUAAAAGAGACCAAAUUUAUCAGAAAUGGUAAGUAAACCGUCCUAUCUUUAAAUUGGGCAAAUUAAUUGCUAUUAAAAUCCAAAAACAAAAAUUAGUAAAAAACUCAGAUUUGAACCCACUACCUGAAGCACUAGAGAACGAGUACGCAAACCCUACAAUGAUCAAGUUGUAAAUAUUUGUCACCCCAAAAUUAUAUAUAAAUUCUGGUGCCUAAAGCGUUUGCUUUGCGGGCUUUAGCCCAUGGCCCGGCCUGUGUACGAGUUAAGAUGAUUGAUCAAGUAAAUUAAACAUUAAGAGCCUCUCUUUUAUUAUGGAGUAGUGCUAAUUUUACAUUAGCCUCAAACAUCCUAGAUAAAACCUUACAUAUUAUUAUGAAACACGCGAUGAGGUGUGGUGUUGACAUAUAUCGACAACCACAUUCAUACACUCGAGGGUUUCGUUUGGAAUCUAGUAGGAGGGCCCAGGCAUGGUCUUCUGGAAGGGACAUACGCUAACUUGCGGGAUUUUGCAAACUUUAGGUAAGUGAGUAGCUGUCUGGUAGAUACGGCUCACCAUUUGCUGCUUUCCUUGCUGUUGUCCCUGUUGCUGAAUUUGUUGUUUAACCGCUUUGGAUGCUCCUUUCAAGGUUGGGCAAACGCAAAGGGGCUCUUCCUGGUGGAGCUCGUUACAGCACUGCUGGAGUAGAGGCGGUCUCUGCUGUGGACCCUGGGGGUUCUCCAUGUCGUCUUCAAAGUCAAACUCACCGUCGAGGGUCCAGCUAGGACCACUGCCAGACUGCAUUGCUUGCUUGUGGAGCCACUGCUGGCAAGCUUUUAGGUGUUGUGCUUGCUGAAACUCCUUCCUACAUUUUGGAAUCCUAAAUGGGCCGGCUGGGUUUGUUGCAUCAUCUUCGUCGAACUCGACCACCGUCCGGUAGAUGGAGGCAUUGGUGAGAAGGAAGAAGAAGGCGAGAGUUGCCGAGACGAGGAAGAGCUUGUUCGCCAUUAGUGUAUGUUUUUAAUCUUGUUUGUAUUGAUGAGUUUUGGUUUGAGUAAAGAGUUAAGCGGAUGAGUUAAUUUAUAGGUGAUAAAGGAGAUUUGCAUGGCGAUCACGUGUAAUAAUGCAUGCACGCAUGUGAUUGUAUGUGUGUGCUGUGAGAGAGAAGCUCUUAGGUGUUUGAAGGGAGUGACAAGUGACGAACAAAAACAAUCCUCCGCGUCUGCAUGCUUUGUGUAACGUGUAGCUAAUGUUCUGGCAUGGCAUCUUAUGAGCGAUUCUUUUUAAAAACAAGGUAAAAACUUAACUUCAUAAAUUAAAAAAAAAACGUUUAGUAAGUUGGUUUAAAAGGGGACGAGAGUCUAAAAAUUUUGGAGGUAGUGCCGUUGGGAAUAUAAAUUGGGAGAGCUUAAUCAGAAUUAUAGAAGUUAAAGUUGAUUUAGUCACGGUCAAUAUAAAUUGGGAAUUUGAGUCAAAAUCUUCCAAAUUCGGAAUCCGUCUUGUUACACCCGGUGGUAGGAGCCGAACGGUUUGAAAAUACUUGAAAUGUGGAUGUACAGGCUGGUUUAAUUUUAUGUUGAAUGGAUACAUGUCAAUCGAAUUAUAGGUACACAUUUUACUCUAAUACUAAAAUGUAACAUUUGUCUCAUCCUUACUCAAGAAUGGUAGCUCAUCCUUACUCGAGAACGGUAUGCCAGUCACUUUAACGUAUAUCUCAUGAAACUCAACUCUAACACUUAUUUCAUACCCAUAUCUAAAAUAAAGAAAACUGAAGAAAAACGGUCAAUAGCAUCAAUCCUUACAAAUAUAAUGCACUUGGAAACCUCACAUGAAAAUAACAAUAAAGAGGAGGUGAAUAAUAUAAGUAGUCCGAAAUGAAGUCUAUGGACUUAGAAAUAACAUUCCAAAUAUAUAUAAUUUAAUCAUAACAUGAAACAAACACAACACCUGAAAUGACAUAGAACAAAUUAGGGACCUAGUUAUAAGAUAAAGACUGGCACACCUCUUUUUUUUUUUGUUCAACUACUGGCACACCUCUAAUAGAAGCUUUCCCUAUGGAGGAUUCAUGUAUGUGACUAGAACCCACACACCGCCCGAAAACGCUUUCUUUAUUGACCUCAUUUACUACAGCUCAACCUGUCGACUUAGCGAAGAGGAAGAGCAAAGAUCAAGCUAACUAAAUUAGGGCUCUUGUUUGAUGAAACUGAAUGAAUGAAUCGAGAGAUGAAUGAGAUCUUCAUAAGCGAAUUAAGAAUCGACAAGGAAAGUUGCCCAAUAAAUAUUUGACAUUUCUUAAUUUUAAGGCCAAUUGGGCCAGUAACAUAUGGUAUUUUGACAGAUAUAUAGAUCCCAGAAUAAAUACUGAAUCAGCAAAAAUGAAAUCAGAGAGCUAAACGCUGAAGAAUCCACAUCUGCGUUCAAACAGUUCAUCCUUUACCUCAAAUAAACAAACUGCCAAAUCUUUUAAAUAUCUCAAACGUAAACAAAAUAUGAAAAAGAGUCUUUGGGACAAACAAAUCAAAAUGGUCUUGACAGCAUAUUGACCCUUGUAUGAUUGAAAGCCACUGAGACCCUCCUGCCAUUAACACAUCAAAUCUUAUAGACACACUUUGAGAAAAUAAAAAUCGUGAGGCCAUCUCAGUGUUAGUGACUCGCCAUGAAGUAAAGGCAUACCAGGAGAGUUUUGUCAAAAAGACAUAAGCUUAUUAGAUAAUUGGAGGGUUUAACUCUUAUAUAUCAUGUGCAGAAUUUAAUUGGUCAACAAAGCAAAUGGAACCAUCCGAUAGAUGUUUUAAAGAACAAGAGGUACAUUUGUAUAUAUGCAUUGGUUGAUACGUUUCUGCCAUCUGAAUUGCUUCUUCCUCAAAGAAGAAGCAAUCACCGAUGAAUGCUAAAGGAUUCAGGUCUAUAUUUGGCUUCUACUAGGCUUGUCUCUACAGUAGACUUUAUUCACAAAUGCAAACAACUUCAAGCAAGGCAAGUGACAGGACAGAUAAUGCUUAGAGAAAGAGAAACCGUUGAAAAGAAGCAGAAAGCACAACUCCCUUCGACUAAUUAAUCUAGGAUUUGCACUGACCAUAUUACUUCAAAGAUAGUUCCAUUUCAAGAAACAUAAACAGAACUUGAAUGAGAAAAAUCUAUGAUCAAAUUCAAAGGGAAAUUUGCAAGAGUACAAAGACAGAUUCAGCAGCACCUAGAAAACCCCAAUUGAUCUGCGUAAAAUCCCAAUUCUCUCUUCUGUUUACAAAAAAAAAUCACGAUCCACACUCUUUUUUGAUUUUCAAAUCAAAACAAAUAAUCAGCCCUGAAUUAUACAGUAAAAUCCCGAUCAAAACGGGUUAAUAAUUUUAUGAAAUAAUACAAAAAAAAAGAAACAGAUUGAGAUCGGCAAAACCUCGAUCAAUCAAUCAAUCAAUCAAACAACAUCGUCCUUCUUGGGUUUCCGAUAAUUCUCUUCGAUGUGCUCGAGGAUGACGCGAACAGUGUUCGUCAGCUUCUUUACAUCGGGAACGUUGUAAUUCUGUGCAACGUAUACACCAUAAGCCGUUCCCAUCGUGAACACCAAGCAGCUCUUCAUUAUCCCCAUCCCCCUCUCUACGCUCCGUACUAGUGUUCUAUUUGCACUUGUACUAUGAUACUUUAAUGGGCCUUCAAUAUUUAUUUCUAAGGCCCAUAGUGGGCCCAAAUCAAAUGAAACCGGCAUGCUCAUUUCCGUUGGUAGACAGAUUAAGAUUAAGGGCCAGAUUGGUUCAAAUGCAGCGGUUGCGGUUGCGGAAGUUUGUGGAUGCGGACGGUUGCAGUUUCUAGCGGUUUUAAGAGAUUUGUACGACUGGUAGUGCGGUUAAAUAUUGGUGCGUUUGCGGGUGACUUAUGACUGGUUAACUACCAAAUGCGGUAACAGUCAAAUAAUAAAUUAACAAUAUUUAUAUUUAAUAUAAUUAUAAAAAUAUCAAAAAGUCAUAAAAUUAUAAUAAAUAUAAAAUUUAUAUUUAGAAAGUUAUAAUUUUAAUUAUUAAAAAUUUAUUAAAAUUGUUUUUAUUAUAAAAUUUUAUAAUAUUAAUUAAAAUAUAAUAGAUAUAUUUUAAUAUUUUCAUAAUUUCAAUUUUAUAUUUAAAAUAAAUAACUAAAGUUUGCUAUCCGAAAAAACUAUCGUUUGCUUUAUUCAAUUGUUUAUUUAAUAUGCCAUUUAAUUUAAUAUUUAAGAUAAAAGAGACCAAAUUUAUCAGAAAUGGUAAGUAAACCGUCCUAUCUUUAAAUUGGGCAAAUUAAUUGCUAUUAAAAUCCAAAAACAAAAAUUAGUAAAAAACUCAGAUUUGAACCCACUACCUGAAGCACUAGAGAACGAGUACGCAAACCCUACAAUGAUCAAGUUGUAAAUAUUUGUCACCCCAAAAUUAUAUAUAAAUUCUGGUGCCUAAAGCGUUUGCUUUGCGGGCUUUAGCCCAUGGCCCGGCCUGUGUACGAGUUAAGAUGAUUGAUCAAGUAAAUUAAACAUUAAGAGCCUCUCUUUUAUUAUGGAGUAGUGCUAAUUUUACAUUAGCCUCAAACAUCCUAGAUAAAACCUUACAUAUUAUUAUGAAACACGCGAUGAGGUGUGGUGUUGACAUAUAUCGACAACCACAUUCAUACACUCGAGGGUUUCGUUUGGAAUCUAGUAGGAGGGCCCAGGCAUGGUCUUCUGGAAGGGACAUACGCUAACUUGCGGGAUUUUGCAAACUUUAGGUAAGUGAGUAGCUGUCUGGUAGAUACGGCUCACCAUUUGCUGCUUUCCUUGCUGUUGUCCCUGUUGUUGAAUUUGUUGUUUAACCGCUUUGGAUGCUCCUUUCAAGGUUGGGCAAACGCAAAGGGGCUCUUCCUGGUGGAGCUCGUUACAGCACUGCUGGAGUAGAGGCGGUCUCUGCUGUGGACCCUGGGGGUUCUCCAUGUCGUCUUCAAAGUCAAACUCACCGUCGAGGGUCCAGCUAGGACCACUGCCAGACUGCAUUGCUUGCUUGUGGAGCCACUGCUGGCAAGCUUUUAGGUGUUGUGCUUGCUGAAACUCCUUCCUACAUUUUGGAAUCCUAAAUGGGCCGGCUGGGUUUGUUGCAUCAUCUUCGUCGAACUCGACCACCGUCCGGUAGAUGGAGGCAUUGGUGAGAAGGAAGAAGAAGGCGAGAGUUGCCGAGACGAGGAAGAGCUUGUUCGCCAUUAGUGUAUGUUUUUAAUCUUGUUUGUAUUGAUGAGUUUUGGUUUGAGUAAAGAGUUAAGCGGAUGAGUUAAUUUAUAGGUGAUAAAGGAGAUUUGCAUGGCGAUCACGUGUAAUAAUGCAUGCACGCAUGUGAUUGUAUGUGUGUGCUGUGAGAGAGAAGCUCUUAGGUGUUUGAAGGGAGUGACAAGUGACGAACAAAAACAAUCCUCCGCGUCUGCAUGCUUUGUGUAACGUGUAGCUAAUGUUCUGGCAUGGCAUCUUAUGAGCGAUUCUUUUUAAAAACAAGGUAAAAACUUAACUUCAUAAAUUAAAAAAAAAACGUUUAGUAAGUUGGUUUAAAAGGGGACGAGAGUCUAAAAAUUUUGGAGGUAGUGCCGUUGGGAAUAUAAAUUGGGAGAGCUUAAUCAGAAUUAUAGAAGUUAAAGUUGAUUUAGUCACGGUCAAUAUAAAUUGGGAAUUUGAGUCAAAAUCUUCCAAAUUCGGAAUCCGUCUUGUUACACCCGGUGGUAGGAGCCGAACGGUUUGAAAAUACUUGAAAUGUGGAUGUACAGGCUGGUUUAAUUUUAUGUUGAAUGGAUACAUGUCAAUCGAAUUAUAGGUACACAUUUUACUCUAAUACUAAAAUGUAACAUUUGUCUCAUCCUUACUCAAGAAUGGUAGCUCAUCCUUACUCGAGAACGGUAUGCCAGUCACUUUAACGUAUAUCUCAUGAAACUCAACUCUAACACUUAUUUCAUACCCAUAUCUAAAAUAAAGAAAACUGAAGAAAAACGGUCAAUAGCAUCAAUCCUUACAAAUAUAAUGCACUUGGAAACCUCACAUGAAAAUAACAAUAAAGAGGAGGUGAAUAAUAUAAGUAGUCCGAAAUGAAGUCUAUGGACUUAGAAAUAACAUUCCAAAUAUAUAUAAUUUAAUCAUAACAUGAAACAAACACAACACCUGAAAUGACAUAGAACAAAUUAGGGACCUAGUUAUAAGAUAAAGACUGGCACACCUCUUUUUUUUUUUGUUCAACUACUGGCACACCUCUAAUAGAAGCUUUCCCUAUGGAGGAUUCAUGUAUGUGACUAGAACCCACACACCGCCCGAAAACGCUUUCUUUAUUGACCUCAUUUACUACAGCUCAACCUGUCGACUUAGCGAAGAGGAAGAGCAAAGAUCAAGCUAACUAAAUUAGGGCUCUUGUUUGAUGAAACUGAAUGAAUGAAUCGAGAGAUGAAUGAGAUCUUCAUAAGCGAAUUAAGAAUCGACAAGGAAAGUUGCCCAAUAAAUAUUUGACAUUUCUUAAUUUUAAGGCCAAUUGGGCCAGUAACAUAUGGUAUUUUGACAGAUAUAUAGAUCCCAGAAUAAAUACUGAAUCAGCAAAAAUGAAAUCAGAGAGCUAAACGCUGAAGAAUCCACAUCUGCGUUCAAACAGUUCAUCCUUUACCUCAAAUAAACAAACUGCCAAAUCUUUUAAAUAUCUCAAACGUAAACAAAAUAUGAAAAAGAGUCUUUGGGACAAACAAAUCAAAAUGGUCUUGACAGCAUAUUGACCCUUGUAUGAUUGAAAGCCACUGAGACCCUCCUGCCAUUAACACAUCAAAUCUUAUAGACACACUUUGAGAAAAUAAAAAUCGUGAGGCCAUCUCAGUGUUAGUGACUCGCCAUGAAGUAAAGGCAUACCAGGAGAGUUUUGUCAAAAAGACAUAAGCUUAUUAGAUAAUUGGAGGGUUUAACUCUUAUAUAUCAUGUGCAGAAUUUAAUUGGUCAACAAAGCAAAUGGAACCAUCCGAUAGAUGUUUUAAAGAACAAGAGGUACAUUUGUAUAUAUGCAUUGGUUGAUACGUUUCUGCCAUCUGAAUUGCUUCUUCCUCAAAGAAGAAGCAAUCACCGAUGAAUGCUAAAGGAUUCAGGUCUAUAUUUGGCUUCUACUAGGCUUGUCUCUACAGUAGACUUUAUUCACAAAUGCAAACAACUUCAAGCAAGGCAAGUGACAGGACAGAUAAUGCUUAGAGAAAGAGAAACCGUUGAAAAGAAGCAGAAAGCACAACUCCCUUCGACUAAUUAAUCUAGGAUUUGCACUGACCAUAUUACUUCAAAGAUAGUUCCAUUUCAAGAAACAUAAACAGAACUUGAAUGAGAAAAAUCUAUGAUCAAAUUCAAAGGGAAAUUUGCAAGAGUACAAAGACAGAUUCAGCAGCACCUAGAAAACCCCAAUUGAUCUGCGUAAAAUCCCAAUUCUCUCUUCUGUUUACAAAAAAAAAUCACGAUCCACACUCUUUUUUGAUUUUCAAAUCAAAACAAAUAAUCAGCCCUGAAUUAUACAGUAAAAUCCCGAUCAAAACGGGUUAAUAAUUUUAUGAAAUAAUACAAAAAAAAAGAAACAGAUUGAGAUCGGCAAAACCUCGAUCAAUCAAUCAAUCAAUCAAACAACAUCGUCCUUCUUGGGUUUCCGAUAAUUCUCUUCGAUGUGCUCGAGGAUGACGCGAACAGUGUUCGUCAGCUUCUUUACAUCGGGAACGUUGUAAUUCUGUGCAACGUAUACACCAUAAGCCGUUCCCAUCGUGAACACCAAGCAGCUCUUCAUUAUCCCCAUCCCCCUCUCUACGCUCCGUACUAGUGUUCUAUUUGCACUUGUACUAUGAUACUUUAAUGGGCCUUCAAUAUUUAUUUCUAAGGCCCAUAGUGGGCCCAAAUCAAAUGAAACCGGCAUGCUCAUUUCCGUUGGUAGACAGAUUAAGAUUAAGGGCCAGAUUGGUUCAAAUGCAGCGGUUGCGGUUGCGGAAGUUUGUGGAUGCGGACGGUUGCAGUUUCUAGCGGUUUUAAGAGAUUUGUACGACUGGUAGUGCGGUUAAAUAUUGGUGCGUUUGCGGGUGACUUAUGACUGGUUAACUACCAAAUGCGGUAACAGUCAAAUAAUAAAUUAACAAUAUUUAUAUUUAAUAUAAUUAUAAAAAUAUCAAAAAGUCAUAAAAUUAUAAUAAAUAUAAAAUUUAUAUUUAGAAAGUUAUAAUUUUAAUUAUUAAAAAUUUAUUAAAAUUGUUUUUAUUAUAAAAUUUUAUAAUAUUAAUUAAAAUAUAAUAGAUAUAUUUUAAUAUUUUCAUAAUUUCAAUUUUAAUUUUUUUAUUAAAUAUUUUUACUUUUGUAUAUAUAUUGUUUAAAAAAAAAGAGAAAAAAUUAUCCUCCCGCAACCGCAAACGCUAGCUGGAGCCAACUUUUGAAUUUAUGAGAUUCAGAGCGGUUUGAAGUGGUUUAGAGCGAUUUGAGUGAUUGUUGCAAACCGCCGACAACCGCUACCAACCGCAAAAGCUGCGUUUGCGGGUGGUAGCGGGAAAACCAGUCACCCCAUCUUCUCGGUUCCUGAAAUCUUGUCUCUUUACUUGGGAUUUAAGACAUGAUCGACUGAUAGACAGAUUAAAUCUUCUCGGUUUGAUGCGUAUGUGAGACAUCUGUUUUUGAUGGUUGUCUGGUUGGGGUUGUUAUUGUACAUGUAGGCUUAUAAGGAAUGGCAAAGAGCACAUUCAAGGAAGAGCAUGACCUAGGUUUGGAUCCUACCUUUUUGUUCUCUUAGUUUUGUGUUUGAUUCUCAAGUAAACUUAUAACUUUUGGAUCUAAUGAUGAUUCUAUUUUCUGCCUUCAGAGAAAAGAAGUGUAGAGGCUGCUCGGAUUAGAGAGAAAUAUCCAGAUAGGAUUCCGGCGAGUGCUCAGUGUUUUACAUUACCUAAACACAUAUGUGAUUAGCAUAUUGUCUUCCUUUUCCAUGUUUGGACGAUCCCUUUGUGUUGCACUCAGCUUAAGCUCUUGUUAUGUUUCAUGGCCCAACAUCUAUAUCCUUUUUUUCUGUCUUGGGUGAUUAUGAACUUAUCAUAUCUUUGGCUAUAGUUUUGUAGAUAACAAUCUGGAUUUAUAUGUACUCCCAUUUAACAGUUGGUUAUUAACCUCUGAUUAGCCUCAUGCUUGUGAUAUUUUUAUAUUUGGGCACUGUAUCAACUCAACUACUGAACUUGUUUGAAUUCUAGUGUCAUAUUGGGAAGUGAUUAAUGAUUUUACAUGGUUACUUAAAAAGUAGUGACACUUGAGUGAUGAUCUUCACCCUUUUUUGUAUUUGUGUGGGAUCCGGGUGAUUGUUGAGAAGGGUGAGAAGAGUGAUAUACCAACCAUCGACAAGAAAAAUUAAGCAUAUUGAUUACUGUAAUCAAUAUACAUCUCCCUCGGACCUGACUUGUGAUUGACACAACUAAGCUUUUUAUCCUGGAUGCAGAUACCUAGUCCCAGCUGAUCUGACAGUGGGGCAGUUCGUGUAUGUCAUUCGCAAAAUAAUCAAACUGAGUGCAGAAAAGGCUAUCUUUAUCUUUGUCGACAAUGUUCUUCCUCCAACAGGUAGCACUGAUAAGCUCUUACUUACUGUGUAUUCAUGACUUCUUUAAUAUCAUCCUAAGACAUCUACUUUGAUAACUCUGGCAGGUGCGUUAAUGUCUGCUGUGUAUGAAGAGAAAAAGGAUGAUGAUGGUUUCCUCUAUGUCACUUACAGUGGAGAGAACACAUGUGGAUCUCCAUAGAGAUCUCUUGCUGGAUACUUCGUUUCUAUUUUACCUAUUUCGCCUGAGUAUUUCAUUUCUUAUUAUUAGUUAUCUAAGCAAAGCAGCCUAUGUACUACUUCUCUAAGAACUUUAAGAUGGCCGUUCAUGUGUACAGAGAACAUAAAAAUAAUGUAUAUAUAAUCUCAAAACCUACUUGAUUAUGUUUUCGAUUGACUUUCACUCAGUAAGCCGACAUAACAUGUUGCCGUGAGUGCCACUGUAGUUACAGAGGCAAAAAAGUCUUUAACUAAAUAGAACAGCAGUGGCCGGUUAUGGUACAAAAGGUCCCACAUUGUCGUUGACGGAGGGGGGGAAGAGACGGUCGCACCAUGUUGCCUUGUUCUACUAACUAGAUCUUACUAUGUCCAUGUUGAUUUUUGCUUCUUUAUGUUUAUUUGUCAAUCGUUAAAGCUUGCUCGGUUUUGUUAGAUUCGGGUUUAUUAUGGGCUUCCAACUCAAAACCAAUUGGCAAUUAGUGGAUUGGCCCUAACCUUUUAUAUAUUACUUAAUGUCCCAUUGAUUUUCCAAUGUGGGAUACAUAUCCCUUAAUAUUAGGAGGCCUUCUCGCCUUGAAUGAGAUAAUAUUUUUGAGGAUCAUUCAUAAAUACAUAAACCUAUUAAGGGAUAUGUAUCCCACAUUGGAAAAUCAAUGGGACAUUAAGUAAUAUAUAAAAGGUUAGGGCCAAUCCACUAAUUGCCAAUUGGUUUUGAGUUGGAAGCCCAUAAUAAACCUGAAUCUAACAUGGUAUCAGAGCCAGGUUCCUAAUAAGUUAAACCCCUAAUUAAUAUUAACCCUACCCGACCGGGUAUAUAGGUCGUAAUUGACUCGCUCGACCGAGUAUAACUGUCUUAAAAUUCCGAGAUUUCUGGCCGAUAAGAGCCAUCAUCUCGAGGAGGGGUAUUAAGGGAUAUGUAUCCCACAUUGGAAAAUCAAUGGGACAUUAAGUAAUAUAUAAAGGGUUAGGGCCAAUCCACUAAUUGCCAAUUGGUUUUGAGUUGGAAGCCCAUAAUAAACCUGAAUCUAACAUGGUAUCAGAGCCAGGUUCCUAAUAAGUUAAACCCCUAAUUAAUAUUAACCCUACCCGACCGGGUAUAUAGGUCGUAAUUGACUCGCUCGACCGAGUAUAACUGUCUUAAAAAGUUUCCAAGAUUUCUGGCCGAUAAGAGCCAUCAUCUCGAGGAGGGGUAUUAAGAGAUAUGUAUCCCACAUUGGCUCUGAUACCAUGUUAGAUUCGGGUUUAUUAUGGGCUUCCAACUCAAAACCAAUUGGCAAUUAGUGGAUUGGCCCUAACCUUUUAUAUAUUACUUAAUGUCCCAUUGAUUUUCCAAUGUGGAAUACAUAUCCCUUAAUACCUAACCAGUCACGUGAAACGUGAGACACGCGGUUGUGUCCUUGGGAAAAGAUAGGUACUUCGAAUAUUUAAGUGAAAGUUGAACGCAAGGGUUCAUAGCCAAAGAGUCUGUUAACUGAAUAGAUGGGGAUGCUAUCAUGUUAACGUAUGUGACAUGUCUAGUAGUGUCUUGAUAAGAAGAUGAAUGUCAUCUGAGUAUGACUUACGAAUGUUACGUCAAACUAUUGUGUUAUAUGCUCUACAUAUAUCUGGAUAAACUGCCGUUGAAAUUGUACAGUAAUGAUGGGUGACAAGGGUAACUGGGUAAGUAUAAUGUUUGUUAAUGGAAGAAGGAAAAUGAGAGAUUGACCCCACACGAAGACUCUUAAGUAGACAAAAAGUUUGGCCGAUCAAGACACACCACUAUACAUCAAUAGAUACGUAUAUGUAAUGCAGAAAUGAAUGUGAAUAUGUUUGAAAAAAUGGACAAGAGAGAAGGUAAAAGAACAAGAGAGGAACAAGAGCAUGUUAUGGCAAUGAAGGACCCCCCACCUGCAUUCAAUGCUUGUUUUACUCUCUUUACUCACUCCAUUAACUUUCUUCUCACUACAAAUACUCCUUCCCUCUCUUCUCUUCUCUUACACUCCAUAAACAUUUCAUACCAUCUUGAUCUCAUCUCUCAAUAUAGCCACAGUAUAAAUAUAGGUAUCUGAAAAGAAGAAAUAGAGAAGUUAUGCCUUGCUCUGUGAGGAGUGGAUUCAAGAUAGUGUUCUGUUUCAUUCUUCUGCUUUUGUCAUCCAAUAUUGGAUGUGCUAAUGCUCGUUGUUUAGGGCUUCACAAGCAUCAUCACAAGAUUCAUCACAAGGUUGCUUCCUUGGUACAAGAUGUUGUCAAUGGUGGAGGAAGGAAGAGGGUAUUGGGUGGAGUGGAGACAGGGGGAGAAGUAGUGGUCAUGGAUUAUCCUCAGCCUCAUCGUAAGCCUCCCAUCCACAACGAGAAGGCUUAAAUUACUCUCUAUACAUCAUAUGAAUCACCACACUGUUAUAUGCAUUCACCAUGCUGGUGGUUUUAAUGACACUCUUGAACUAUAUUCAUUACCAACUCCUUUUGUUCUCUCUUUCUUCGUUCUCUAAAACAAACAAGCUGCACCUCUUCCUUAUAAUAUAUUGUAUUUCAUGUGGAAUGUGCUUACUUUGAACGAACUCUUCAGACCGCCCAACCAGAAGAAAUCCGGUCUAAGUUUGGUUAUUGCCUCAUCCAGUAUCACCUAAAAGUUUCCCAAAACCCACCCAACUCAUUAGUGCUGCUCAAAUGUCAACAUAGUAAACCAUAUUUAAUUUUCACAUCAAAAUCAAUCCAAAAUGCCUAGAAAAAAGCCUAAACAUGAAGCAUUUCAUACAUAUCUCCACGAAAGGAACUUCCAACUCUAUGUUUACUUUCCAAUUAACAUUUUGUUCUGCACAGAUCGAACUGGAAUCCAAUGGUCUUUUUUAUUAUGAGAACACAAGCAGCAGAACUGAAUACUCAAAAGGGAAAACUCACUAAUACUUAAAAGAUGAUUUUGAAAGAAUGAUGUGUCACAGACACAGUAGGAUGAAUAGUGUUUUUGUCUGAAGUGGGCCACUUCUGCAUAAGAGAAGGAGGAAUACACAUCAAUGCAGUAGGGUAUGAGCCUACUAAGAUUAUUUCUGCACACUCAACAAAAAUAACGCCAUUUAAGUCUCUAACUGCUAGUAUUAGCAGUUCAAAGAAAGGGCUGUUUGCGAUAUAAUACGUGGCAGCGUCAGCGUCAGCAUCUGCGAAACGAACAACAACUGUCUUUAGUGACGCUGCCGCCGCCACGCCGAAACCUGCGGCAACCAAACUAACAGGCAUCGGACCGUAAAAAAAGAGGUUCUAGUUUUUCACAAGUAACGGCAAAAAUACUAGAGAAAAUGAGUGGUACAAACAGAAGCUGGCUCACAAGAAAAAACUUUAAGUAAUUUUGGGCCCGUAUCAAAUGCAAACUGUGUUAAAAUGUACUACACCUCCAUUACAGACUUAAAAGAAACAACCCAAAAAAAACUAGCUGUCAGACCUUCGGGGCCUCUGUGACAAUUAGGACAUGCAUGUCUGGGAAACGCUUGGUAAGCACAUGUGUGGUAAAGGGAAAACUCUCUGUAACUAUUUAUGAACACAGAAGACAACAUAAAACUGUUUGUCUAGGAGAAGAAAACACAAGUGGGCAGAGGUUAUUAUCAUGCUAAUCCUCAUAUCUUACACAUGUCUAAUAUAUAAUUAAUAGUGUAGCAGCAACGAGCAAGUACCAAGAGAUAAUCACCAGAGCAUGGCAAAGUCGGUCAGCUUCAGACAGAUUUGAUUCUACAACGGAAAUAAAAGUUUAAUUGACGUCUCCUCAGGAGCAAGUCUCUACACAAAGAUUAGAGAAAGCCUGUCAACAGAGGGAAGCAAGGUAUAACCUUCAAUAUCACCAUUAUAUAAAAAAGAGGCACUGACGAUUAAAUCGUUUCUUUGGGAUCUUGCCCUCGUUUAGAGAAUAAAGAAAGUUCUUCACUGCAUCAUCAGCGUUAAAUCUAGCAGAGUACUGCCAUAGAAAAAAAAAUAGUAGGUGGUCAGAUGAAUACAGUUAAAAACGAAUUAAAUGUGAGAAUAUAUGCUAGGAACCAUUAGGAGCACCUAAACAACAACCACAUAGUAUUUAGAGUUGUUGCGAUCACUGCAAUCCAAAAUGUUUGAUGAAACUUGAAUAUUAACCUGCAUUAGUAAACAUUUGGUGAUACGAAAAGAAACCACCUUCAAUGGCAUAGAUACACUUUGCCUUUGCAACAUGAUUCAACAAGUGUAACAUGAAACUCUAUCCGAGGGAAAAAAAUAAAUAAAUGAAUCCAAGGAUGAAAAUGCUCUUGCAGAGAUGUGGACAGAGGAAGAGCCGAGAACGUUGCGGCGAGAUUCAAGAGUCCAGUCGUAGUAAUUGGGCUUUCAAAUAUUAAACCAGGAGUCAAUAUCAUAUAUUUGAGCGUCAAUCAAUUCCAUUAGAGUCUUCUGUGAUUGUAGAUUUUCUUCAAGUAAGUUGGCUCGAGCUCAACACCAAGUCACCAACUAUCAACAUACUUUAACCUUGGUCCAAAAAUCUUCUGUGACUGUAGAAGGGCCUGAUGUAACAGCAGCGGUUACGAUUGCGGUUAUGGGAGUUUGCGGAUGCGGGUGGUUGUGAUUCUAAUCGGUUUUAAGAAAUUCGUACGAUUGGUACUGCGUUAGAAACUGGUACGUUUGCGGGAUACUUAUGACUGGUUAGCCACCAAAUACGACAACAGUUAAAUAAUAAAUUAAUAAUAUUUACAUUUUAUAUAAUUAUAAAAAUAUUAAACAUUAUAAUAUUAUAAAAAAUAUAAAUUAUAUAUUUAUAAAAUUAUAUUUUCAAUUUUUUAAAAUUAUAGAAAAUAUUUUUAUUUUGAAAAUUUAUAAUAUAAAUUAAAAUAUGAUAGAUAUAUUUUAGUAUUUCUAUUAUUUCAAUUUAAUAUUUUAUUUUUAUUUUUAUUUUUGUAUUUAUAUUUAUAUUGUUUUAAAAAAACGAAAAAAAAUUUUACCCUCCGGCAACUGCAAACGCUAGAUGAAACCAACUUUUGAAUUUAAGAGGUUUAGUUUAGAGCAAUUUGAAGCGGUUUAGUGUAGUUUGAGUGAUUGUUGUAAAACGCUAACAACCGCUACAAACCGCACAUGCUGCAUUUGUGGGUGGUAGCAAGGAAACCAGUCAUGCCCUAAGUCUGGCUACUCCCGAUGCAGUAGGAUCUCAUAUCUGUUUAGCCGGUGCGAUUCCACGUUGGCCCAAAUCAACAAAUAUGGGCCCAUUUGGUGCCCACUGCAUUACUUUACAAUGAUGACUCUUUGGACAUUACAUGUGUAGUACAUCCACCGUAUUCUACAACGUUAUAAAAAUAUUAAACAUUAUAAUAUUAUAAUAAAUAUAAAUUUAUAUUUAUAAAAUUAUAUUUUCAUUUUUAAAAAUUAUAGAAAAUAUUUUUAUUUUAAAAAUUUAUAUUGUAAAUUAAAAUAUGAUAGAUAUAUUUAAUAUUUCUAUUAUUUCAAUUUAAAAUUUUUAUUUUUGUAUUUAUAUUGUUUUUAAAAACGAAUUUUUUUUACCCAUCCAUAACUGCAAACGCUAGAUAAAACCAAUUUUGAAUUUAAGAGGUUUAGAGCGGGUUGAAGCGGUUUAGAGGCCCUGUUCGUUUGCUCACCCACGUGAUCCAUCUAGGUGAAGAUGCAAACUGAUGUUCGUUUUGUGCAUUAUAAUGUUAUAUCCAGAUGGAUCACCCAUCUGAAUAUUUAAAAACUCAUCUCAAAUUCUCACUCAAAUGAAGGUGAGUGUUGAUGGUGUAUCUGGAUGCAGAUGCAUCUAGCUCAUUCCAAAAUGAUAAAUGACAAAAAUGAUCUUUUAAAAUAAAAAUAUUAUUUUCAAACCAUAAAUUCUAUUUUUUUGCAUAUACAUUUUUUCGCUAUAAGCAAAAAAUGCAUUUUCUCGCAAAAACUGAAAAACACACUUUCCAGCCAAAAUCACAAGAUGCGUUUUUCCGUAAAAAACAUAAAACACACAUUUUUCGGCUAAACCAGUAAAACCACACUUUUCGACCAAAACCGAAAAAUGCAUUUUCCCAUCAAAGCAAAAAAAAACGCAUUUUCCCGCCAAAACCCAAAAAACGCAUAUUCCCGCCAAAACUCCAAAAAGCAUUUUCCGGCCAAAACCGCAAAAAGCAUUUUCUCUCUAAAACCGGAAAAACGCAAUUUCCCGCCAAAACUGGAAAAAACGCAUUUUCUCGCAAAAACCGGAAAACACAAAUUUCCCGCCAAAACCGGAAAAUGGAAUUCUCCCGCCAAAACCGAAAAUGCAUUUUCCCGCUAAAACCGGAAAACACAUUUUCCCGUCAAAACCGAAAAACACAUUUCCCGCUAAAAUUGUAAAAACGCAGUUUUCCGCCAAAACCGGAAAAAACACAUUUUCUCGCUAAAACCGGAAAACGCAUUUUUUCUGCUAAACCGGAAAAACGCAUUUUCCCGCUAAAACCGAAAAAACACAUUUUCCCGCCAAAACCGCAAACAAAACUUUAGAACAAAUUUUUUCCGUCCAAACCGCAAAAACGUAUUUUUCCGCCAAACCCGAAUGUAUUUUUCCGCCAAAACCAUAAAAAUGCUUUUUUCGCGAAAAACACAUUUUCUCGAAAACCGCAAAAAUAUUUUCGGCCAAAAUCGUAAAAAUGCUUUUUUUUCGCCGAAACGUAAAAAAUUAUAUUUUAGUCAUUUUAUUAACAAGUCCAUCUGGUUGCAGAUGGAAGUUGAAAAAUGAAAAGCAAACGAACAAAGUUUCAUUCAGAUGAUUCAUCUGGAUGCAUGGACGAAAUGAAGAAACGAACAACUCUCAGAUGGACCAUCUGGAUAAGACAUCUACAUGGACCAUCUGGAUGCAUCUUCUAAAUGUACAAACGAACAGGGCAAGAGUGGUCUGAGUGAUUGUUGCAAAACGCUAACGACCGCUAUAAACCGCAAAAGCUGCGUAUGUGGAUGGUAGCGAGGAAACCAGUCAUGCCCUAACUCUGGCUACUCCCUAUGCAGUAGGAUCUCAUAUCUGUUUAGCCGACACGAUUCCACGUUGGCCCAAAUCAACAAAUCUGGACUCGUUUGGUGCCCACUGUAUUACUUUACAAUAAUGAUUCUUUGGACAGUACAUGUGUAGUACAGCCACCGUAAGUAAGUUAUGUACCUUACACCACGUGGAUGAAAUCCAUUUGUUGGUGUUAAAAGACAAUAGACCAUUGGACUCUUCUUAAAUUUCUAUAAAUAAAUCCCAGCCCGACGACAACGUUAAGACUAGCGAAAAAAAAAGAUAAAAACAAAAACAAAAACAAAAAAUGAUGAAGUGUUUGAUAUGUCUCUCUCUUAUUCUCCUCCCUCUCAUCUCCGUCAUGAAGGUAAUCUCGGUGGCUGAAAGCAGAUUGAUUUAUCUGAUCUGAACAUCCAAUCGCUCGCCAACUAUGCAAUUAAUGAGCAUAACAUGAAAUCUAAGGUGAACCCUGUGUUUGUGAAGAUCGUCGAGGAGAAGGAGCAAAUGGUUUCCACGAAGAAGUACAAUCUGACCAUUACGGCGAAGGAUGGCGGUGGCACCACAACGAACUACGAGGCCAUCUUGGUGGAAAGGGCGUGGGAUAAUUACAGGAGCCUUGAGUCAUUCAAGGCCUUAUAGAUCUAAGUUUUUUUAUUUUUGUAAAUAAAAGCUCGAUAUGGAUCAGAUAUUACAAUAUAUGUAGGUUUCGAUGAUUUGAGAUUUUCAUACUGUGUGUCCGUUGUUUGUUUUCUUUUGAAUAAAAACUAAAUUAUAGAUAUGUUUCUUUCUAUGAUUCAUAUAAAAUUAAUAAUGAUAAAAAAAGAAAAGAUCAAGUGGAUUUGCUCUUAGCCUGUAAACUAUAUGUUACUUUAAUUCAAAUAUAAUGCAUGGCAAGUUGUCAAAUCAUUAACCCCAAAUUGACGAUGUACAGGCCUAAUAUUUGCAUGCAAAAUGUUCUAUGGUUUUUUUUUUAGAAAUCAGUAACACAAUUUGAGAUUAAAACAUUAUUCGUAUCUCUUUUUUGGGCGUUGGAUUUUAAAAUCUACUUGUCAAUUAAGUUUUUUUUUUGUCAUCAUAUACUUGUGAAUUAAGUAUGACAGAAUCUACUCCCUUAUCUAACUUAUUCUACUUAUUUUACAUUCGAUAUAAGAAAUUAUUAAUUAAAUUAAAAAAAUAAAAUAUUUUGGAAAAGGUUUUGGGCUUACAAAUAUUAUCAGGAGGUAAUAACAUACAUUUAAGCCUCAGUCAUGGGUGUUGGGUUCAAACAAGAGAUCUGAAUUUUAGCUGUCAAAAAAAAAAGAAGAGCCUCAGUCAAUUCCAAUAUGAAACUUUUGAUUCGAGCUCAUGACCAACUAUCAAAUACUAUACCUUGGUCUAAAAAUCUUAUGCGACUAUAUAAGUAUGCUCUUGAGAUUUAUAAAGUAAACUAUGCGUUUUCCAGUACUAUGUGCAGUAAUAAAAUUAUUACAUUUAAAUUAUAUCUAAAAUAAAAUUUAUUAUUUUAGAUUUUAUUAUUUUCUUAUCAAUAUUUUAAUAUAAUUUUUUAUCUGAUUGACCAUAAGACUUAAAUAAAAUAAACUGUUUUUAUUUAUUUUAAAUUAUAUUUAAGAAUAGAUAUGUAUAUAUUUAAAAUUAUGAUUUUAGAUAGAUUUUUAUCUAUUUUUUAGAUAAAAUAUAUUAAAUCAACUUGUAUAAUAUUAAUAAAAAAUUAAUACAAAAAUGUAUAAUUACCAAAAAGUACAAAUAAACAAUAUUUUUAAAAUGUAUAGAUAUAUAAAGGAAAUUAAUAAUAUUAUGAUUUAAAUUUUAUAUUUUUAGAAUAAAAUUGGAAAGAAUUUGAAAAUAUUUUUAGCAGUAAAAUUGUGUAGUGAUAACAAAUAAAAAUAAAUAAUAUUUCAAAAAUUGAAAAACAUUAUUUAAUGUCAUAUUUGAAUACAUUAAUGAUGAUGUAUACUUUACUAUCAUAUUCUAAAAAGUUUAACAAAAAUAUAAAUAAAUAUUAAAUGUAAUAAUCCAUAUCAUAUUUAACCAUAACCAUGUCAUUAUUUCUGUUAUGCUAUGAAACUGAUUGUAAAAAGAAUAACUGAUUGUAAAGAGAAUAUGUAUCAAAAUCACUUUGUAAAUAAUGUCUGGAGACAACGUCGUAAGAUCUUUUACCUUGUUUAGACGAUGUGAGUCAACGUUGGACCAAAUCAACAAAUCAUAGGAUCUCAUACCUUUUUAGCCGAUGCGAGUCAACGUUGGACCAAAUCAACGAAUCUGGCCCAUUUAGUGCUCAUCACUGCAUUACUUAACAAUGAUGACUCUUAGAUAGUACAUGUGUAGUACAGCCACCGUGAAGCCACGUGGAUGAAUCCAUUUGUGAGUGUUAAAAAACAAUAGACCAUUGGGCUCUCUUUAAAUUUCUGGAAUCUCUAUAAAGAGAGAUCCCAACCCGACAACACCAAUACAACAACACCAAUAAGACUAGCCAAAGAAAACAAUAAGAACAAAAAAAAAGAUGAAGUGUUUGAUCUGUCUCUCUCUUAUCCUCCUCCCUCUCAUCUCCGUCGUGGAAGGUAAUCUUGGUGGCUGGACGCCGAUCAAGGAUUUAUCUGAUCCCAACAUCCAAGCAGUAGCCAAGUACGCGGUCGAUGAGCAUAACAAGCAAAUUACGGGGAAUCUUGUGUUCGUGAAGAUCCUCAAGGGAAAGGAGCAAGUGGUUGCCGGGAAGACGUACAGUCUGACCAUCGCGGCAAAGAAUGGAGGUGCUGGGACAAAGAACUACGAGGCUGUCGUGGUUGAAACGAUGAGGAGUCAUCACUUCGGCCUGCAGUCAUUCAAGGCCUUAUAGAUCUAAGUUUAAUUUUUGUAAAAAAAAAUCGACAUGGAUCAGAUAUAUUAUAAUAUUAAUAUUUAUAGGUUUUGAUGAUUUGAGAUUUUGAAAUUGUGUGUCCUUGUUUGUUUUCUUUUGAAUAAAAACUAAAUUAUAGAUAUGUUUCUUUCUAAGAUUCAGUUAGAGACUCAAGAGACCUGUUGUGUUACUUUGGACUACUAUCUAAUUUCGAAAAUUUGGAUUUGAAUCGGUCGAUACGACAAUGUGUCAAUGUGAUGAACGGCACGUGCGUCGUUCCUGACUUUUGGCUUAACUGUAUCUGUCUGUCCUUAACUCGAUCGUUAUUAGCUGUACCGGAGAGAUCAACACGUUCGUAUUUUUGAGGAAUGACCGGUAAACAUUCACAUUUAAAACGCAACUGGUUAUUAAUUUGACAUGUUUGAUUUAGAUUUAGGUGAUGUUGAUAUUGAUACAGUUUUUGAAGGUUUCGCCAAACUUGAUGAUGAGUCUGUGGCUUCUUUUCUCGUGUGAUGAUGAUGAAUCAAUGAUUACUAUAUAGUACUGACUAGUUCGUUUGUAAUUUGAGGAGAGUCCGGUUUUAUCACGGAUCAGUUAAGCUUCUUCGGUAAUGAUAAGAGUUUGAGUUGUAUUAUUCUAGUAUUCUGUUUUGUAUUUUGUAGUUCGUAUAUAAUUUGAAUUUUGAGGAGAGUACAGUUUGGAUCAGUUUAUUUCUCUGAUGAGACAAACCUGGUCCAACUCAAUCGGUAAUGAUAUAGUUUGAGUUGUAUUAUUCUUAGUUCAAUUUUUUUAGUAUCGGUUCCAAAAUCGUGAAAUCUUUUUUUAAUCAUUACUAGGUGAUGAUCCGCUCCCUGCGCGGAGUGAAUAGACUAAAAAAGUUUGUAAUUUUGAGUCUAUAGAUAUUUAGAAAGCAAAAGUUAUGGUAUCAUAUAUUACAUGUUAUACAAUGAUGGAUUGGAGUAAAUUGCUUAUGUUUAUAUAAGGUUAAUUACUUAAACUGUUAAAAACUUGUGUUAUUGGUUAGAUGUAAUCGAAGUUUUUCUGUGGAAGUAAAUACUUAUGUAAACUUAGUUAUGGUAUUAAGAUAAAAAAGUUUAAUUAUUGCUUUCAUAAGAUUAAACGAAACACAUAUAAUAUAAUAAUAAAAUGUGAAAAUCAUAACUUAUGAGGAAAAGUUUUUAAGGAAAAUGAAAAAACAACAACUGCUGUGGAAAGUAUUUUCAGAACUCUCAGUUUGCAAUCAUAUAAAGAGUAAUAUCAUAUAAUAUAAAUUAUCAAAAUAAAAAGAAUUAUAAAUUGGAACUCAUUAAACGAAAUGUAUUACCUUUAAAAAAAAUGUAUUACCUUUUUCUGAAAGCAUCGAUUUCUACAUCAUAGGGCUCAAACACAACUUUGGAAAACCCAUCAAUGUUAAGUUCUUGAAUCGACCUUAUCAUCAUAAUGUAAAUAAUUUGAGAAAAAUAUGGAAAUAAGAUCAGCUCGACCGCUUUUAAAAUAUAUAUAUAUAUAUAUAUUAAAGUACAUUAUCUUUUCCCCAAUUAAUUUGCCAAAACUGUAAAACACAGAGUACAAUGUCUGCAUUUGUCGAAUCCCAUAAAUCUUGGAAAGCGUGAGCAAAUGUUCCAUAAGCAACACACUUAAUGAGGACGUUCCCGUAAGUUGUGAAAAAAAAAGUUCAACACAUAUGCUAUCAACCAAAUUUGUCAAUUAUGUUUGUGAAUGUCGACUACUUACUCCAUAUCUACUACAAAGAAACAAAUUUUAUGAUCAAGAAAACCAUUGUUCUCGUCUUCGUUCAUAUAUUCUUCAAGAAAUCCUACUCCUACCACAGCCCCGUAAAUAUUGGUUUCAUAUGAGAAAAUCAUGUACUCAUUAUUAGACAGUCCUCACUAAAAUGUUCAUAGAUUCAUUGUAACUUGGUAACUUUCAAAUUAUAAUAAAUUUGACAGAAUAGAAAACAUACCAAUAGAAAAAUUAGGAUGGGCUAGGCCAUGAUAGACGUCAAUGAAGUUUGAAAAACAAUAACAGUUGGACUUCAGGAUUGGAUCGAUCUUCAAAACUAUAGAGGAGUUAUUGAGGUUAAGAUGAAAUCGGUUCUUUUACAACCGAACACGCUCUGUUGUAGGAUUCAAACUGAUUUUUUUUUUUUAUUUUAAAGCAGUUACCUUCCUCCAGAGGCAUUUCGGUUGAAGAAUCCAAAUCUUCGAGAAAAUUGGCUUGCAUGGUAUUUCCCUGUUUGAGAGACGUAAAAAUGAGUUAGUAAAAACUAAAAACAUUAACAUAACGGAUACAUGUAAGUUAUAACAAUAAAAAAAAAGAAUCAUGACAAUUACUCGUAUCCCUUAUUAGAUAAGGAAAUUACCUAACGGGGUUAUACGCUCCUUUGUAAAUGUUAUGAGAAGGAGACGGUGAUGAAACAAUGAAGGUAUGCGACCUUAUUUUUAUAUGGAUAGUUGAACGUAUUAGGGUGGAUUUGCGUAGAUAAUCGUCUUCUUAAUUAUCGGAAUUCAAAUUAAUCCUUGAAUAUCAAGUACUUGCCUUAAAACACAUCCAUGCGAAUCACUUUCCCUAUUAUAGGAAACAAACUGUAAAUCUGGUCAACUUAAUAAAAAAAUUAAUCAAUCAGCAUCUAUUUAAAAUACAUCUAAAUAAAGUUUCGACAAUGACUUUCCUUAACAAAUUUGAAUUAUAUUAAUAACUAUAUAUAUUACCGAAAUAUUGAUAUAUUUAGCUUUAUACAUUCCAAUUUUGUAAUAUUAGGAAGAUCGUGGAUUAUGGCAAGUAUCACGUGAUUGACAAUACCCAGCUCCAUCUUUGUAGGGUAAGUGUCGUCGUAUUCACGUACUUUUUAUAUGGAAAGUCGCACGUAUUAAGGUUGUACUAGAUUUUGACCCGCGCAGGCGCGCGGGUGUAUAUUUUGAAAAAUAUGUUGAUAUUUGUUUUUCAUGUAAUUAUUAGGAUUUGGAAAAAUGAAUCCGAGGAACAUAACCGAUACCGAUCCAAAGAUAUAGUACCAAACCCAAACAUAAAUUGAUUAAAUAUUCUAAUUAUUCAAAAUUUUGUUAUUUAGAGAACCGAAUCUGAUCCGAACCGAAGUAUUUGGGUAUCCGAAUUUAUCUAAAAAUAGAUUUAUAUACUUAUAUAUAUUAAUUAUUUUUAGAUUUAACGUAUAUAAAACAUCAAAAAUGAUACUUUUAAAUUGGUUUAAAUACUUGAAAAUAUAUAUAGAUAGUCAAAAGUAAAUAUCUGAAAUAGUUAAAGUAUACUCAAAUCACCAAAAAUACUUAAAAUAAUUAUUGAUUUCGUAUCCAAAAUUUUAAAUCAAGCCAAUUGAUAUGUUAAGCUUAAGUAUUAUGACAUAUGUUAUUCAAAUUUAUACGUAAUAUAUUAUUUUAUUUAUACAUUUUGAGAAAUUUAAAAUAUAUAAUGAUUUAAGACUUUAAAAAUAAUUUAAAUUAGUUAUCCAAACCCAAACCAAACCCGCAAAGAUCCAAAUCGAACUCAAACCAAAAUUUAGAAACAUUCUAAUAAGGCUGAAAUCUUUGACCCCGAAAACCCAAAAUACAAACCGAUCAGAACUAAACCCGUAUGGGUAUCCAAAAGCCCAUCCCUAGUCAUUAUUAUAUAUCGUAUUUUAUCAUCAUAUAAUUAAUCGUAUUUUAUAUGUACCAUCAUAUAAGUAAUCAUAUAAUUAAUAGUAUUUUAUACAUACCAUCAUAUAAAUAAUUACAUAUAUUAUAUUUUUAAAACUUAAUAUGAAAUAUGAAAACCAUAAUUUGAGUUGGUAUUUCAAAUUGGGCUUUGUAUUAUAUUUUUCUUAUAUAUAUUGACAAUAUUUUUUUAUAAUGGUUAUUGAAAAAUAGUUUAGUAAAAAUCCAUUUUUGAAUAUAUGUAUAUUUUUGAAUCAAUUUUUGAUAUAAAUCAAAUUUGAAUUAUUAUUUUGAUUUGAAAUAUGUAUAUAAAGUUUAAAUUUUGUUUUAUGGUUAGUUUAGAAAAAAAAAUUUUAGGGAAUUAGAUUGACCCAUUUUGGUAUAUUUUAAAAGUGGCCUAGAUAACUUUCAAUUUUUUAAAAAAACAUAAGCCCAUUACUUUUUUUUCUUAAUACUACUAUCCUUGUUUUCAAACAAAAUUUUUUUUUUUAAAAGACUGCAAUCCAUGUUUCCAAACACUCCAAAUUUUUAAAAAUCCUAUUCAAGUCUCCAAACACUCCAAUUUUGUACUUGAGUUUUAAUAAGAUAGAUAUUCGAAAACGUAUGUGCCAAAAGCCUGCAAUCAUGAAAUAUAAUUAUAUUUACAAUAAAGAUCCAUAAAAUGAAACUUAUACUAUAUGUUUGUGCCAAUGACAUGACAUGUAAAUAUGUAAUUACCCUAAGCUAAAGAUGACUAUUAAAAAAAUGAUAUGAGGUGAAAUGUGGUGUUGAAACAUAAGUAAUGGCAAAGUUGUUAAUCACACAUGAAGCCAAUGUUUAUUUUAAAAAGUUAUCCUCGAAUAAUAAGAAGGGGAUAUGUCUUUUACACUUUUUGCUAUCGUGUUUGUCUAUUUCUAUUGGUUAUUGUGUUUGGACAAGUCCUAUCUUCAUCUUCAGUUGCUAAGCAGUGAACUUCCCCUUGUAAUACUAAGUCUUUACAGACCUGAUGCCCUAUGAACAAAACAGUCUUUACAGACACUGAGCUUAAUGCCUAUUCCCUUUUGUCUCUCUGUCUAGGUGAUUAUGAACUUAUCAUAUCUUUGCCUAUAGUUUUGUAGAUAGCAUCUGGCUUUAAAUGUACACUCGACUAAACAGUUGGUUAUCAAGAUAUUAACAUCUGAUUAGCUUCAUGCUUGUGAUUAUAUAUAUAUAUACUAGUGUCACAUAACGACAGUAAGACUUACGAACGUGUUUGUUCUUUUUUGAAAUGUAGCUUUCGAAAACUAUAGCUUACUCACUCCAUUAACUUUUUAUUCUUACUGCAAAUACUCCUUCCCUCUUCUCUUCUCUUCUCUUACACUUCAGAAACAUUUCAAACUAUAUUCAUCUUGCCCUCAUCUCUCCACAUAUAGACACAGUCUAAAUAGAAGUAUGUUGAGAAAUAUAGAGGUCAUGUCUUGCUAAUGUGAGGAGAGGAUUUGCGUUAGUGUUCUGUUUCAUUCUUCUGCUUUUGUCAUCCAAUAUUGGUUGUUCCAAUGCUCGUCGUCUAGGGUUUCACAAGCAACAUCACAAGGUUGCUUCUUCAGCACAAGAUGUUGUAAAUGGUGGAGGAAGGAAGAGGGUAUUGGGUGGAGUGGAGACAGGGGGAGAAGUAGUGGUCAUGGAUUAUCAAGCCUCAUCAUAAGCCUCCCAUCCACAACGAGAAGGCUUAAAAUUACUCCAUCUCUCUAUACAUCAUAUGAUCACCACACUGUUAUAUGCAUUCACCAUGCUGGUGGUUCUAAUGACACUUGUGCUAUAGUCACUACCAACUUCUUUUGUUCUCUCUUUCUUCGUUCCAUAAAACAAACAAGCUGCUGCACCUCUUCCUUAAUAGUAUACUGUAUUUCAUGUGGAAAUGUUGCUUACUUUUAGAACGAACUCUUCACCAUCAUUUUAGCUCUAAGUAGCUUCAGAAAAAACUUUACACACUUCUGCAUAAGGAAAGGAGGAUAACAUGAUCAAUGCACUUGGGUAAGAGCCUAAGAUUAUAUAUGCACACUCAACGCCAUUUAAGUCUCUCUCUGCCUAGUAUUAGCAGUUCAAAGAAGUAUCAUCAAACGCUUGGCAAGCACAUGUGUGUGAAAGGGAAAACUCUCUGUAACUAUUUUAUGAACACAGAAGACAACACAAAACUGUUUGUCUAGGAGAAGAAAACACAAGUGGGUAGAUGUUACUCUUAUGCUACUCUCCAUGUCUUAAUAUGUAAAUAAUUGUGUAGAGACUAUAGGAGUAGCAAUGAGCAAGCAUCAAGAGAUGAUCACUAGAGCAUGGCAAAGUCGGUCACCUUCAGAAAUAUGUGAUUCUACAACGGAAAUAACGGUUCGAAAACAAAAACGUACCGGUAUGCUUGUCUUAAUACACUUAUACAAGUAACAGCACUGUGCUUAAACCCAGUCAGUUUUAGUUGACGUUUCCUCAGAAGCAAGUCUCGCUACAACAAAAAGAUUAGAGAAAGCCUCAGCAGAGAGAAACAACAUUUAUAGACUUUCAUAUGAAGAUCAUAUAAAUAAGGAGGAGCACUGACAAUUAAAUCGUUUCUUUGGGAUCUUGCCCUCGUUUAGUGAAUAAAGAAAGUUCUUCACAGCGUCGGCAAUGAAUCUGGCAGAGUACUGCCAUAGAAAAAAAUAUUGUACGUAUGGAUACAGUAAAAAAGACAAUAUAAAUAUGCUAGGAGCCAUUAGGAGCACCUGAACCAUAACCACAUUGUAUUUUCAGUUGGUGCAAUCACUGCAAUCCAAAAUAUCUGAUGAAGCUUGAGUAUUUACCUGUGUUGUUAACUUCGUAAUUUGGAGUCUCUCCAUGCCUCCGCAGCUGCAGUCUCCUCCAUGCGGUCGUGUCUACUGUAAAUAAGAAAAGGCCAGGGUAAUCUGAGCCGUUGAUUUGAGUUUUGAUUAGGAUAUUAAAUCUAGAACCUUGGAUCAGGCUUUGGGCAUACAAAUAUUUUCAGGAGGCAAUAACAUACAUUUGAGCCUCAAUCAAUUCCAUUAGAGUCUUUCUGUGAUUGUAGAUUUUCUCGAGUAAGUUGGCUGAGCUCAAGACCAACGAUCAACAUAUACUUCACCUCGGUCUAAGAAAUCUUCUGUGACUCUGUGUUUAAUUUGAACUAGGAUUUUGAACCGUUCAUAAGUUUGCUCCCGAGAUUAUGAAGCAAACGACGGCGUAGGAUCUCAUAGGACUACUCCGAUCUGGACCCAUUUAGUGCUGACUCCAUUACUUAACAAUGACGCUUCUACACUACACGUGUGGGGACAGCCACAGUUGACUCUAUCACGUGUACUUGUCGUACGCCACGUGGAUGGAUCCAUUUGUCUGUGUCAAAGACAAUAGACUUGUCACCACGUAAGACCUAUUGGGCUCUCCGUAAAUUUCUUGACUCAUCUAUAAAAGGGACGACACCAUUAAGACUCGAGAAAGAAAAAAAAAGACAAGAACAAAAAACAAAAACAAAAAAUGAUGAAGUGUUUGAUCUGUCUCUCUCUUAUCCUCCUCCCUCUCAUCUCCGUCGUGGAAGGUAAUCUUGGUGGCUUAGGUAAUCUCGGUGGCUGGAAGCCGAUUGAUUUAUCUGAUCUGAACAUCCAAUCGCUCGCCAACUAUGCGAUUAAUGAGCAUAACGUGCAAUCUAAGGCGAACCUUGUGUUCGUGAAGAUCGUCGAGGGGAAGGAGCAAGUGGUUACCGGAAAGAGGUACGAUCUGACAAUCGCGGCGAAGGAUGGCAGUGGCGCCACAAAGAACUACGAGGCCAUCGUGGUGGAAAGGCCGUGGGAUCAUUACAAGAGCCUUGAGUCAUUCAAGGCCUUAUAGAUUAGAAUCGAUAUAUUAUAAUAAUUUGAAGGUUUGAUAACUUGAUAAUUUGAGAUUUUGAUAUUAUGUUUAUUGUUUUUUGGAAUAAAAUCUAAAGCAUAGAUAUGUCUCUUAUUUGAGAAGAUCUUUGCGCGUUACUUUGAGCUUCUAUCUAAUUUAAUUAUUUUGGGUUGAAUCAAUCGAGAUGACAAGUUGAUGAACGGGUGCAUUGAUUCGUGACUUUUGGCUAGACUGAACCCGAAAAUUCGACCAAUAAAAAUAAAUUGGUUAUCCGAACCGAUUUAAAGAUCCACAGAUUAUGGGUUUUAUGACCAACCCAAAUGGGCAUCGGAAAAACUUUUUUUUUUAAAUGACAAAAAGGUAAUUUAUCUGAACCGAAUUCAAUAUCCGAAAAAAUUUAAAAAUUUUGAAAUGGCAAAAAAAUAAAUCCAAAUGGAUAUACAAAAAAUUUAAAAAAUUAAAAUGACAAAAAUCUGAUUUCAUUCUUAAUAUGUAUCUAAAAUAUACUAAGAUAUUAUUAAAUAUCUGAAAUAAUUUAUCUAUUGCAUAAAUAAUUUAAUACAUAGUUUUGGUAUUUGGUCAAUAUUGAUAUUUGUAUGUUUUAACAAUCGCAUCUGAAAUUUAAAUAAAUUUGUUUAUAAAGUUUAUCCAAUAUUCUUUAGUUAAAUAGUGUUUCUUAGAUUUAUAAAAUCUAACAGUUAAUUUUAAUUUAUUUACGUUUAUUAUGCAUGAUUUUCAUCUUUAUACAAGACUUUAGUUAUUAUGAUGUUUGAUAUUGUCACAUCAUAAGAAAGAGUCUCGUAAGAUUGAUAGUCGAGUCUCCCAAUUUCACAAUAAUAUAGUUAAAUGAACAUUGUAAUUAAAAACUAUAUAAUUACAAUAUUGUAAAUGAACAUUGUACACAAAUUUAUUGAAAAUAUUAAAAAUAUAUUCAGUUUAAAAUUAACAACAAGAAAUGGACGGGCUUUCCAGUUUCCAUGCAACUUAGUAAUUAGUUUUCAUCUUUUGAGCCAUUUUUACCACAAAAAAAGAAAAAAAAAACUUUUGAGCCAUUAACUUCAUAUUUUCAACACUGCAAUUUGCAUAUUUUCUCAACAGUAGAUUUAUUUUCCACACUUUUAUAAAGUAAAUUUUGGCAAAUUGAUAAUCUCAUCAUACCUGAAAGUAGGUGACAAGUCUCAAAUCUUUCCCUGGCAAUCUCCACAGGAGGAUUUGAACAGUACGUUUACUUCCGAGUUUAUGAUCCAUGGAAACGAUGUCGUAUGAGCUCUUCGUCACUGUUUAGUAAUCAACAAAUUUAAGCCAAUAAAUAAUUACUCCAUUAGUCGACAAUGAGUCUUCAGCAGCACGUUAAGGGGUCAGCCAUCGUUGACUCUAUAACAUGUACGUUUGUACGCCACGUGAGUGGAUGAAUCCCGUUGUCAAAUCUGACGGUGGAAAAUGUAAAUAUUUGGAAGUAUCUGACCAAAUCAGUCUAUAAAAAUCUCCAAAACCAACCGUACGGUGUAAGACUCAAGAAAGGAAAAGAGAAAAAGAACCCCAAAAAAAUAUGAUGAAGUCCUUGAUUUGUUUCUCGCUCAUCCUCCUCCCUCUCAUCUUCGUUGUGGAAGCGUUUCCCGGUGACGGUGAGCUUGUGUCAAUCAAAGAUGUCUCGGCUCGAAACAUUAGAGAGGUCGCCAAGUAUGCGAUAGAUGAGCAUAACUCGGAAUCGGAUGAUAAUCUUGUGUUCGUUAAGAUCAUCGAGGGAAAGUGGAAAGUGCGCUCCGCGAUAUUAAUAUACGAUCUGACCAUCGCGGCUAAGAAUGAGGGUGGUGCGACCAAGAACUACAAGACUGUCGUGAUGGAAUCUGGGAGGGACAAGAUCCUUUACUCAUUCAAUGAGGUGUAAGUCGAGAUAUGAGAUAUCAUAAUUUGAGGCUUUGACGACAUUGUAUGUUUCUUUGAUGUUUUUGUUGUUUUGGAAUAAAAACUGAAUUGGAGAUAUUUUUUUUCCUGAAAGAUUCCAUAAAAAGUUCUGUUGUUUUCUUUUCCUUAAAGAUUCCAUAAAAGUUCUGUGUUACUUGGAGCUCUAGUUUGAGACUGACUUUAUUUUAUAUAUAAGACCAAUGUACAAGCAUUAAAACUAUAUACAAAGAGACUAUAUACCUCAGUAUGAUCCUUCUUUGUUGGCUGUGGAGAGCAAUGAAAGGCUGAAUCACUUUAUGAUAAAAAUCAUCGCAUAACUAACUGAUGCGAGUCGAGAAGCUUUGGUCACUGAUGUGCUUAACUUUUAAAUAAUAUAUAAUUGUCAUAUACAUUGAUAUUGGGUCCAAAUGCACAUGCUAUUGUUGUGUGUUUUGGCAAACCGAACAGACUAUUUAUAUCUUGCUCACGUUCUAAGAUCCGUAAUUUAUGCUAUAAACAAAUUGUUUGGAUAAUAGAGAAAAGAAGUGAUGAUUUAUUUUUUUCAGAAAACAAAACGAGGUGUUUAAGCCCAUUCAAGAAUUCAUUCUUUGUUGGAAAGCCCAUUGGAUCAAUAUAUCAAACAUAAUUAAGCUUUAAACUGAACGAGUCUUCUCCUUCCCCAGUACAUGAUUUUUGUUUAGUUUGGGCUGUUGUAUGACAUGUUCGAAAAUGCUGCCGCCUACCGUCUAGGUGUUGUUUGGAGCUUAACCGCGUGAAUCUCCUAGAUUAUAUUUGAUUGCGAAGUGAUUUUAUCGCAUGUUCUUUUUACAAUCAAUUUUACAAAACAAAUACGAUGUAAUUAGUGAAAUUGAUGACAUAUCUUAUAGCUUAAUAUAACAUGGACAAUUGCAUUUAAUGCCAAUUUAUAUUUUUGGUAAACAUUUUUUUUUUUGUCGUCAAUUAUACAGACUCAUAUUGACUCUGUAAACCAAACCGGGUGAUCUGCAUCCAUGUGAACGACAAAAGAUGGUUGCUUCCUAUAACUGCGUGCUAGACUAUCCGCCUUUGAGUUUUGCGUCCGUAGUACAUAGAUAAGCACUGAUCGGGUGAAAAACUCUUUCAGAGUCUUGAUGUCUUCCAAAUAACUUGCAAAAACUGGUCACUCCUCUGGUUCCAAAACCAUUUUCACCAAUUGAGAACAAUCCGUUGCAAACGUAACCUGAAAUUGACAUAAAUUCCUCAUACAUUCCAUUGCCCAUAAUAAUGCCUCCAUCUCCGCAUGAAGAGGCGAGAGGCUAGUCCGAACAUUUCUUGCCCCCAUCAAUCCAUCAAACCCUACCAAAGUACUGAACCAACUUUGUCCUAAGAAAUUAGAACCUUCUUUCCACGAACCAUCCGUAAAACACCAUCUUCCAGGAAUUGAUUGUAAACUUUUUAAAAUAUUGUAAUAACUCAUAUAUUACAUUUAAUGUCAAUUUAUAUUUUUGGAAUUUUUUUUAGAAUAUGGGAAUAACUCAUAAAUCAUCAUUAAAAUAAAUAUAUUCAAAUAUGGCAUUAUAAAUUUUGAAAUAUAAUUUAAUUAUAUAUUUUUAAAUUAUAAAAUUUUAUUACUAAAAUUUUCAAAAAUGUAUACCAUUUUUUUAGAAAAUUAUAUAAAUUUAAUCGUAAAAUCAUUAUUACCUUAUAUAUCUACAAAUUUUAUAAAUAUUUUUUAAUUUUAUUUGUUGGUAAUUAUGCAACUUUUACAAAUGUAUUUAAUAUAUUUAAUUAAAAUAAAUAGAUAGAUUUUAGACAAUUGCAUUUAAUGUUAAUUUAUAUUUUUGGUUACCUUCUUAAAAUAUCGCAAUAACUCAUAUAUUACAUUUAAUGUCAAUUUAUGUUUUCGGAAGUUUUUAAGAAUAUGGGAAUAACUCAUAAAUCAUCAUUAAAAUAAAUAUAUUCAAAUAUGGCAUUAUAAAUUUCGAAAUAUAAUUUAAUUAUAUAUUUUUAAAUUAUACAAUUUUAUUACUAAAAUUUUCAAAAAUAUAUACAAUUUUUCUAGAAAAUUAUAAAAAUUUAAUCGUAAAAUCAUUAUUUUCUUAUAUAUCUAUAAAUUUUAUAAAUAUUGUUUAAUUUUAUUUUUUGGUAAUUAUGCAACAUUUACAAAUGUAUUUAAUAUAUUUAAUUAAAAUAAAUAGAUAGAAAAAUUUAUCUAAGAUUAUAAUUUCAAAUAUAUACAUGCAUAUUCUUAAAUAUAAUUUUUAUGUUUAAUUAAUCAAAUUUAUAUUAAAAUAUUGAUACAAAGAAAAAAAUCUACAAUAUUAAUAAAAUUUUAUUUUAAAAUAUAAUUUAUAUUUAUCUGUUAAAAAAUAUUUUAAACUUUUUUUACUGCACAUGAAGACACCUAGUAUUACCAAAUAGGUGAAGUAAAGCGUUGACUGCGCUGAACCAUAUUGAUACACGUAAUUUCUGCGUUGACCCAUGUAAUUCCCGCGUACUUUUUUUAUUUAGUUUAUUAUCUUUUAGUCACAAUUUUGUGUAAUUAUCUAUUACCAAAUAAUUAUAAUCUCCUAUAUAUUAGUUGAGAAACAUUAUAACUUCUUUUUGUAGCCACAUGUCAUUACUACGAUGAUUCUUAAAAUCCUUAGAGAAAUAGGUUGGUCCAUCUAAUUAUAUAAUAAACUUAUUAUUAAACUAACCAUAAUUUCAUCAUUUAUGUUUUUUUUAUUAUUUCCUCAAAUAAAAGUUACAUAAUUGUCUAAUGUGACUAAGGUAUAUAUGACAACUAAUGAUUUUGAAUAAGAAUGAUUCGAUAAAAAUUAGUGUAUCUUAUAUCAUAUUUUUUUUUAAAUUUUAAACUAUUAAAAUAAAUUAAAUAACCACAUUAACCAUAUAAUAAAAAUUUAGAUUUUUCUAUAUAUGUUAUAUUUUAAAUUUUUAAAAAUGAUUAUAAAUUACUAAAAUUGUUAAAAUUCUCACAUUCAAAUUUUAUGAUCCAUUGUUUAAAAAAAUUUUAUGUAAAAAUACAAAUGAUUACAAAAACAUAUAAGUAAACUAUAUACCAAAUAAAAUACAUAAUUAUUUUAAUUUCGAAAUUUACUUUGAAUAAAUAUUUUUUGAUAAAGUCUUUGAACAAAUAUUGACAACUUAAUUUUUAAAAAUUAUAAAUUAAUAAAACUAUUAAUCUCACAAUGACCAUUUUGUUAUCAGUAAUUUAACGUUUUUGCUAUAAAAGAUACAAAUGAUCAAAAAAAAAUAUCAGUAGAAAUUUAAUUAUAUAUCCUACGAAAUAGAAAAAAAUUGUUUCGAUUAAUGAAAUUUAUGUUCGCACCAAUUUAAUUAUAGAUAUAAUACCUAUAAUAAUUUGUUUUUAUAAUGUUCUCUUGUGUGGAUCUUAACCUAGUUAGUUAUUAAGUCCAAAACCAUUGUUCAAACCCCAAAAAACACAUACAUACUGUAUUUUGGAGGUUUUUUCGUAUUAAAACCCUAAUCUAAAUGUUGGACAAAUCAAAUAGAGAAUUUUUAAAAUUAUUUAUAAAAAAUUAUAUAAUUAUCUUUAAGAAUUUGUGUCAUCACGUUUAAAAUUAGAUAGACAUAUUAUAAAUAUAUUAACUUGUAUUUAAAACUAGGUCCGCGUAUUUUUCGAAUACUCUCUGAUUUUUUGAUAAUUUGCUAGGCACGAUCUUACUAACCGACUAGCACCUCGCGCGAUUCCGAACUGGGUUGUAUGUGAUUUUUUUUUAGUGUUUGGAAACAAAUCCAAGUUCUGAAGCUGUUUAAAUUUGUAUUUAACUAAUAAAAAUAUAAUAUGAAGAAAAGAUCGUUUUUAGAAAGUAAAAAAACUUCAAUAGCUAAUUAAAUUAGCUUGUAACUACGAAUAAAUAACGAUAACACUGUAUAUAUUUUCGAUGGUUGGAAAUCUAAAAUGUUUACUUUACUGAAAAAAGUUUACAAUAAAUUUGAUUUUAUCAAUUUUUCUGAAGUAGAGUGGUUUAUUUGGUACAAAAUCGUAGUUUUUUUUUUUGAAGUGAAAGGCUAAUCAUGAUACAUGGAAAAAGAUUUGUGCGUGGACCCUUUCAUUACUACAAUCUUUAUUUUGCAUUACAUUAUUUGGUCAAUCUUCCAUCCCAUAUCCACUUAAUUUUUUUCUACAUAAUUUAAAGGAGUAUUAUUCUAAAGUUUAAACCCACUUAAGUGUUUUUGUUUGAUUAUAUUCCACGAUAUUUUAUGCAGGAGACACGUGCGAAGUUUCAACUUCAACGCAAAUUUGUUAAAAACACACAAAAGUAAAAACUGAUAAUGUUUGAAAUGGAAAACACUUUUGUUUGUGCAUCUAACUAUCAUUCGUAUUCCUUAAUCCUUAUACCCGCCGCAUAUUUUCUAGGCUGUUCGAAUGAAUACACGCAUGUAGUUUUAAGCAAACUUUGUAAUCAUUAUUAUGCAUUCAAAAUGAGAUUGGAUCUACACCUUUUCUUGUUCCUUUGGCGGCAUGUUUACUUUUUCUAAGUCAUUAGUGACUUAGUGAUGGUUAUGACUUUUGUAUGGUGCUAUAUUUAGUUGGAUUAAUUUUGAGUUUUGAUUUCCAUUAUUGGGACACUAGUAAACGAGUAAUUAUAUGAACAUAUAAUGGUCAAAAAAACAUUAUUUACACGUGUGGGUAAUAAGAGGGUAUGACCACAAAAAAAGUUGACUAAUAACAUGAAUAGCAUGGCGUCAUACGAAUGUACUCCCAUCCUUUCUAAUAAGUUGAGAUGUCCUUUUAUUUCUUCUACGCCACAUUUUAUCCAAAACUCUAUAAACAAUAUUUCUUCUCCAUAAUUGAACUAUAACAUUUUAGGAUAUCUUUCUAUUUAAACAAUUUGUGGAAUAGCGACGGCCCGUUGAAUUUUCUUCUCUUGAAACAUGUUAAUUUGUUUUAUUGACCAUUAAUUAACGGCUCAUGCUAAGAAAUACCAUAUAUAUUUUUUUAAUUAUAUAUGAAUAUUAUGAUACCGCUAAAAUGAUUUAGAUUAGUCACGUGUUGACAUGUGUUGAUCUUCUGUCAUUUUAACCUAGAAUUUUUGUUCUCAAGUAGUCGAGUUAAUCACCACCAUACUAUAAGUUUUGGUUAAAUAUAUAUAUUAUAUUGAAAAUUGUUUUACUAUAAUUUCUUAUUAAGUAAAAUAUUGAAUCGUGGAUACGAUGACCACCUUGUAUGAACUGAAUCCUCUCAAUUAGCAAAAAGCAUUGACAGAAGCUUCAAGCUGAGCCUCUCGAAGAUAUAUUAAAUAAAUAGAUUAAAAAGAAAAGCGCUAAUUAAAAAGUAUUGGUAAUUAUUUCUUUUAAAAAUACUAAAUGGCUGCUUUUGAAUUAUCUUUUGGUCCGGAGAAAAUGAGUAACACGGUUCGAACAAAGUGAGUAACGCGUAGAAGCUGGUGAAUCAGGACCGCUAGACUUUUUAUGAGAUCCCUUGAAUUAUGAGAAAAAGACCAAAGUAGCACUAAAUCAAGUUUUUGUUUCAAAGAAGCUGGUAAGUCACUUUUUCUCUCUCGACACAAAACAAAAAAAAAAUCAUCUCCUCCCCUCCGGCACGGUGGCCUCGGCGCCGUCGCCGGUGGCUCUCUCUUAACCCUUCCUCUUUUCUUCUUUGCUUUCCCCUCGCUCUACGUCCUGCAGCUGAUAUGUCGAAGCCCUAGGGAGCUCUGCCGGAAGCUGGCUCUCUGGAUCUGGAGCUCGGUGACAGAUCUAGUCUAUGGUGGCCUUCCCCGGUGUCAAGAUGAGGCAGCAAGGCGUUUUGGUAAGGGGAGAGUCGGAUUUUGGGUGGUGAGUACCGAUGAGCGUUUUUCCCAGAUCUGUCUUGCUUCAUCGGUUACUUCCGCGAGUUGGUGGCGCGUGGGCUUUGGAAGAGUCUCACUCGACUCGGAUCUGUCCUUUCGUCGGUGUGGAGAGGCGGUUGUCUCCAUUAGUUUGUCGCCUUGGUGUCUCGGCUUUGGACUCGGUCUCAACCCCUUUCAAGAUGUGCCUCGGAGGUCCUCGACUUCUAGACGUGCAGCGGUGGUCUCUUCUCUGGCGGUGUCAGAUGCAAGUUUCCUCAAUGGCGCGUGAAGACCUUUGGCUCUCUUGACGCGUGGAGUUGUCUAUGCUCAGGCGUCGGAGAUCCGGUGGUGUUCCUCGGUCUUUGUCUCCUCCAGCCUUCGGUUUAAACAGCAGAGAGCCCUUCUCGGAACUGUGCACCUUCUGUUUUGGGUUUCUCGAGCCGGUUCUUCUUUGUAUCUGCAACUCCGUCCUGUCACCGGUUGUUGCUUCAGCCUAGCCUUUUGAUUCAUCCUCUAGUUUUUAGAGGUGAUGCGUGUGAGAUGGUUGGACCUUCAGGUGGUCUCUGCAGGUUCAUUUUCCUCUCCGUGACGGCACGUUUGGUCUCCGGCUAUCCCAGUGCCUUGUGGGUCUUUGAUCUUCUCGGCAAGUUGGAGUCCAUCAAUGGCUUGCAGGUGCUCGUCUCAGCGUGUUUUUAGCCAGCCACAUCUCAGCCUGUUUUACGGCUUCUUUUGGCCGAAGCGUCUCUGUUUCGGUUCUAGAAAGCCUUCAGUUUAUCUCUUCACUCCCCCUAUCUAUAAAUCAAGUUCAAGUCUCGGGUUAGUGUGUCGAAUACGACCUCUCCGUAUCUCCGUACUGGUCAGGGUCUGCCAAGAGAGACGGACUUGUUGAGGAUGGCGGUUCCCCUUAACUUUUCUUUUAAAAAUACUAAAUGGCUGCUUUUGAAUUAUCUUUUGGUCCGGAGAAAAUGAGUAACACGGUUCGAACAAAGUGAGUAACGCGUAGAAGCUGGUGAAUCAGGACCGCUAGACUUUUUAUGAGAUCCCUUGAAUUAUGAGAAAAAGACCAAAGUAGCACUAAAUCAAGUUUUUGUUUCAAAGAAGCUGGUAAGUCACUUUUUCUCUCUCGACACAAAACAAAAAAAAAAUCAUCUCCUCCCCUCCGGCACGGUGGCCUCGGCGCCGUCGCCGGUGGCUCUCUCUUAACCCUUCCUCUUUUCUUCUUUGCUUUCCCCUCGCUCUACGUCCUGCAGCUGAUAUGUCGAAGCCCUAGGGAGCUCUGCCGGAAGCUGGCUCUCUGGAUCUGGAGCUCGGUGACAGAUCUAGUCUAUGGUGGCCUUCCCCGGUGUCAAGAUGAGGCAGCAAGGCGUUUUGGUAAGGGGAGAGUCGGAUUUUGGGUGGUGAGUACCGAUGAGCGUUUUUCCCAGAUCUGUCUUGCUUCAUCGGUUACUUCCGCGAGUUGGUGGCGCGUGGGCUUUGGAAGAGUCUCACUCGACUCGGAUCUGUCCUUUCGUCGGUGUGGAGAGGCGGUUGUCUCCAUUAGUUUGUCGCCUUGGUGUCUCGGCUUUGGACUCGGUCUCAACCCCUUUCAAGAUGUGCCUCGGAGGUCCUCGACUUCUAGACGUGCAGCGGUGGUCUCUUCUCUGGCGGUGUCAGAUGCAAGUUUCCUCGAUGGCGCGUGAAGACCUUUGGCUCUCUUGACGCGUGGAGUUGUCUAUGCUCAGGCGUCGGAGAUCCGGUGGUGUUCCUCGGUCUUUGUCUCCUCCAGCCUUCGGUUUAAACAGCAGAGAGCCCUUCUCGGAACUGUGCACCUUCUGUUUUGGGUUUCUCGAGCCGGUUCUUCUUUGUAUCUGCAACUCCGUCCUGUCACCGGUUGUUGCUUCAGCCUAGCCUUUUGAUUCAUCCUCUAGUUUUUAGAGGUGAUGCGUGUGAGAUGGUUGGACCUUCAGGUGGUCUCUGCAGGUUCAUUUUCCUCUCCGUGACGGCACGUUUGGUCUCCGGCUAUCCCAGUGCCUUGUGGGUCUUUGAUCUUCUCGGCAAGUUGGAGUCCAUCAAUGGCUUGCAGGUGCUCGUCUCAGCGUGUUUUUAGCCAGCCACAUCUCAGCCUGUUUUACGGCUUCUUUUGGCCGAAGCGUCUCUGUUUCGGUUCUAGAAAGCCUUCAGUUUAUCUCUUCACUCCCCCUAUCUAUAAAUCAAGUUCAAGUCUCGGGUUAGUGUGUCGAAUACGACCUCUCCGUAUCUCCGUACUGGUCAGGGUCUGCCAAGAGAGACGGACUUGUUGAGGAUGGCGGUUCCCCUUAACUAGUUGGUCUGUUUCGAUUUCCAUUUUUUGAUAGUCGGUAAGAGAAAGAGAGUGUCGUGUGGAUCGAGCAGCUGUGUGUUGGCGCUGGUUUGAGAGAAAGUAUCUUUGCAGUGGUCGUCUAAAUUUCGAUUUGGUCGGCGUCGUUGGCCGCGGACUUCUGGUGAUGACGGGAACCGGUAACGGAUCCCUGAACCUUAGGUUUUUUCCCUCCCGCUGUUUUUAUGCUGUUCUCUCUUUGUGUAAUAGUGAUAAGCCUAAUUUAUUUGUGAGAUUUACUGUUUAUUCGACGACUAGCCGGAGGUCUUGUUCCGGUUCCCUUUUUUCGGGUUGAUAUUUUAAUCUAAUAUAUAUAUUAAAAAAAAAAAAAAAAAAAAAUCCAUAUAUGAAUCGAUUGAUUACCACAAAAAAUUUGCAAGAAAUCGGUCGAUUCUAAAAAAAAAANNNNNNNNNNNNNNNNNNNNNNNNNNNNNNNNNNNNNNNNNNNNNNNNNNNNNNNNNNNNNNNNNNNNNNNNNNNNNNNNNNNNNNNNNNNNNNNNNNNNNNNNNNNNNNNNNNNNNNNNNNNNNNNNNNNNNNNNNNNNNNNNNNNNNNNNNNNNNNNNNNNNNNNNNNNNNNNNNNNNNNNNNNNNNNNNNNNNNNNNNNNNNNNNNNNNNNNNNNNNNNNNNNNNNNNNNNNNNNNNNNNNNNNNNNNNNNNNNNNNNNNNNNNNNNNNNNNNNNNNNNNNNNNNNNNNNNNNNNNNNNNNNNNNNNNNNNNNNNNNNNNNNNNNNNNNNNNNNNNNNNNNNNNNNNNNNNNNNNNNNNNNNNNNNNNNNNNNNNNNNNNNNNNNNNNNNNNNNNNNNNNNNNNNNNNNNNNNNNNNNNNNNNNNNNNNNNNNNNNNNNNNNNNNNNNNNNNNNNNNNNNNNNNNNNNNNNNNNNNNNNNNNNNNNNNNNNNNNNNNNNNNNNNNNNNNNNNNNNNNNNNNNNNNNNNNNNNNNNNNNNNNNNNNNNNNNNNNNNNNNNNNNNNNNNNNNNNNNNNNNNNNNNNNNNNNNNNNNNNNNNNNNNNNNNNNNNNNNNNNNNNNNNNNNNNNNNNNNNNNNNNNNNNNNNNNNNNNNNNNNNNNNNNNNNNNNNNNNNNNNNNNNNNNNNNNNNNNNNNNNNNNNNNNNNNNNNNNNNNNNNNNNNNNNNNNNNNNNNNNNNNNNNNNNNNNNNNNNNNNNNNNNNNNNNNNNNAAAAAAAAAAGAUCAAAAGUCAUAAAAAUAGCACUCAAGAGCUGGGGUUUAGGGUUUAGAGUUUAGGGUUUAUAGUUUAGAGUUUAGGUUUUAGGAUUUAGAGUUGAGAAUUGAGGUUUUGGGGAUAAGAUUUCAAAUUUUGAAAAAUAAAAAGAUUUAAAUUAUUCAAAAGAUAAAAUGUUAUUUUGGUCAUUUUAGUUUUUGAGUGCUAUUUUUGUGAUAUAAACUUAGAAAUGUGUUAUUUUAGAGAUUUGACCAUGAAUUAUUGUAUGACAUUUUAACAAUGGUGGUUUAGUCAUCCUUUUUAGAUGGUUUUGUGAUUGAUAAUUCGGGAUUCUGCUAGUAUAAGCGUGGACAAUUCAAGUACGUACAUAAUACAUAGGACUGGAACCGGAUCUAAGGUUUAUUGUCACUUGCUGAAAAAUCAUGAUAACAUUGCGUGAAUGACUUUGUCCAAAAAAUAAACAUUGAGUGAAUGACUUUGAACCUAAAGUUAAACUAUUUAAACUAAAACUAUCCAAUAUUAAAUUAAGUUGGAUAAUUAUAAUUAUUUAAUAGUUUUAAAUUAAAAUUUAUUGAAUAAUUUAAUCAAAUUUGUAUUAAACCAAAAUAAUAUAACUCUAAUAUAUAUACAAUGUAUUAAUUUAAAAAUAAUCAUAACUUCAAAAUACUAGUUUAAGUAAAAUACUAAGAACCAGAAUUUUUUUGAUUAUUAAUAGUUAUGUUUUUAACACUAAUAAUAUUCGAACUGAUACAUAUUUAUACCUAUAAUGUUCUUUCCCAUAGAAAUGAACAGUUAGGAACGUAGAGUUUCUCUCUCCUUUUGUUCUGUUUUCUCUCUAAAAUCCGACACAGAGGAAGGAUCGAGAUGAAACUUCUUCCGGAGUUCUAUCAAUUUCAUCUCCUGUUAGCUAGUUUAAUUUUGGGAAGCGGUGAUACUUUUUACACCGUUGUCGCCAGCUUUCGUUUCUGGGAAAUGGUGGCUCUAACAACAUCGGUUUCGCCGGCUAUCGUCUCCGGGAAAGAGGUGGCUCUGAUAACACUGUCCUUUCUCCGGCUUCUUCUCCGGUUUGAUCUGGAAUCAGUUCUCGAUCUACGUUUUUGCUCUCUCUUUACCCAAUCAACUCUCGAUCUGAAUAUCCUUGUUGACUUUUGGAUUGAUCGUAGACGAUUGAUGUAUCUUAAAGCGUAAAUCGGUGUUUCAAGAUCAAUAGUUUCAACGGUUUUGGGCUCCAGGGUGGAGAUUUGGUCGCGCUUUGUUUUUGAUCCUGCGGAAGAGGUUGUCGACUUAUGGUGGAUUUCCGAGGACUGCGGCGACGGAGGUUGCAUACCGGUGAAGUGUUGGGGCUUCGAAUCUUUCGACACGUGCCCCUCUGAUGGUGUUUCGAUCAACACGUGGCGGCCGGGUGAUGUAUGUCCCUCGCAGUGAGGAUCUUGACAUGUGUCCCGUUCACGAACCUCGAGUGAAUGAAGCGGCGCCGUUGGGUUUAGGAUAAUGGGCUUAGGGUCCAAAAAUGGUUUGCGGUUUGGUUCGUCCAUGUGUUUUCUAGACUUUAUCUUUGUAACUUUCGUGGUUUACUUUUAUGGGUUUUGUCCCUUUAAUAAAAUUUAGAUGGCAAAAAAAAAAAAAAGUUCUUUCCCAUUUAUAUCAUGUAAUCUUUUAAUUAAAUGAUAUAUACGCGUAGACAUACAAUUAUGUGCAGAUUGAUGUACAUACAUACACCCAACUUUGCAGAAAACGACAAUUCGUGAUGGACAUCAAUUAGAAAAUUUAAGUUACUAAAAAUGACAGAAUUGGUCUAUUUAGAGUUUUAAUUAAUCCACAAUUGGGAAUAUUAAUAAUUUAAGGAUUUCGCAGUCUAGAUACAAUAUUGUAUUUGUCUAUUUUGGUCGCCGUAAUAAGGAUAUACCUACUCUAUCUCUACGGCUGUCUACACGAUUGUUAGAGUGGGGACAAACACAAUCUUUACAAUCGCAUUAAUUUAAUUACAAUAUUAAAUCUUUUAGAUUCCAGUUGGGGUGUUGAACAACUCACCAUGCUGUAUAAUUACACAGCACGUUACUUUUAAAAUGAUCACAAAGAUAGAGAUACUUUGCCUCCGGAGCAAUUCAUAUUGAUUAGUUAAAACUUAAAACACUUAAAAUAAAACCUUUGAGAGACAAAAUAACAUGUUUAAAUUGUUGAUACGUCGCUUUGGCGACUAACUAUCCAUAUUUAAUUAAUCGUACGUGCACUUGUUUGAUCUUGACUAUGAAAAAUAUAUUACUCGCGUUGGAUCAAGUUGAUACAUGUUUUUGAUCUAUGAACAUAUGAACGGUAUCGGUUAAGAAUAACAAAGUAUAAGUACACAUGCUUCGUUACAGAUAUUCAAUAGAGAAACCAAAUAUCAGAAUACAUUCAUUAGUCUCAUUCGUUAUGUGAAAACUAUAUCGGUUUAAUUUUUUUAGUCAAAAAAACUAUAUCUGUUAUGCUACACCAUAGUUGCUCAACAGAUAUGGAAAUAUGUGGCCGAUAAAUAUCUUCUUUUUUUUUUUUUUUGUCAUCAAAAGCUUUAUUUCAAACUUAAACCGGUCCUAUCGUACUAGCCUCGUGAGCUAGCGGAAUAGAGACCAUACUGUCAACCAACAUGUAGUGUAAAUCACGUGAUCGGGCCUCUUUUGCAAGAGCAUCCGCACGGAAGUUCAAAGAACGAGGUAUAAAACUCAGCGAAAAGGAAAUAAAAGAAGUUCUCAGUGCCUCAAUGGCAUCAAGCUCUGGAUCAAGUGCUGGCCACUUCUUAGAGAAGUUGAUGAUGUGUACCAGCUGUUGACAGUCUGAUUCCAAGCGUACCUGCUGGAACCCACGGCUACUAAGCUCCUCCAUAGCCCACACUAAACUCUCCGCUUCCGCAUGUAGUGGGGAUGGGACGUUGAUUAGUUUCCUUUGCCCUCGCAUUACCUCCAUGUCGCCAUCGAACACAAUAAAACUCAGCCCCACUCCAGUAUCUUCUAGGACCCAAGACGCGUCGAGCUGGCAUCUCCAUCGUCCCACCCUUUCUUGUUCCUCCACUUCCGCUAUCCUCUCAUUCCCGUCGUCUGCUGCUUCCAAGAUGUCCGGCAGGAUCUGCGCUAGCUUCCAUGUUGUAGCUUCCGAAACCGCUAGUUGCAGGGUAUCCACAGGUGAUGUAUCCUUGUUAUUAAAACAUUUAUCGUUUCGUGCCUUCCAUAAGUACCAGAUCAACCAUGGAAAGAAGGCCGUGCUCUCAGCUCUGCUAGGAUCUGUUUGCAAAUUCAGUAGCAUAUCAAAGUUAACAAAGAUUGAGGAACUCGGGAAGACCCCCGGAGACGUCGGGACUGUCGAUAAUGCCCAACUUUGAAUCGCUGGCGGGCAUUCAAAGAUGAUAUGGUUAAUCGUUUCAUUCUCCGCACCACAGCGUUGACAGACCGAGUCGUUACCGCAAUGUCUUUCUUUUAGCUUGCUCGCUGAGGCGACAUAUCCAGACAGAGCUUGCCACAGAAAAUGCUUGAUUUUCCGCGGCGCCUUAAGUCUCCAAACCUUCUUCUUUAAACCAUUGCAACUCGGUCCCAGGCUUAUGUCCCCACGCAGCUUUUUCCGUUGUUCAACUGCAAUGGUGUACCCAGACCUCACUGUGUAUACCCCCGACUUUGUAUGCUUCCAGCUGUAGCCGUCCUUGCGUCCCGUUUUGCUGAUCCUAAGUGUGAGAAUACGAGAUACAUCAUCGGCAGCAAUAAAUUCAUUUAUAACGCCAACAUUCCAUUCAGCCUUGUCGACAUCAAUAAGGUGGUGGACUUUAAGAUCAGUAUCCAUGAUCACUGUCUUUGGUUUCGCCGCGCGAGCAGGUUCCGUAGGGAUCCAUGCGUCUUCCCAAACUUUCGUGUCUGCCCCUGUUCCUAUCGUCCUCUUGAUUCCACCGAUGAGAAUCGGUCUAGCUGCCAUCAAGCUGUUCCACCCAAAAGAUGGGGAAUUUGCUUUACCUAUUACAAGUGGAUUCGAGUGUCUGUAGUAUCUACCUUUAAGAACUCUUGCUAGAAGGGACUCGGGAUGUGUAAGCAGACGCCAUACUUGUUUAGCGAGAAGGGCCAGGUUGAAAUCUCGGAAAUCUCGGAAGCCCAAGCCUCCUUCCUCUACUGGUACACAGAUUUUGUCCCAUGCCACCCAAUGCAUCCCCCGAUUGUUAUUGCUCGUAAAUGGAAAUACGACAAACGUUUAUACAAAACGAUGAUGACAGCAAAGAGCAUUCAAAAGUUACGCUACAAAAAAUAGGGAGUUAAGACUGCACAAUUAGUCGUUAAUUUCCUAUUACGAAGAUUUAACGUUGAUUCUCCAAUCGUCGUUUUUAGCUCAUCGUAAUGCGUCAAUCAUCAUAAAAUCAUCGUAAAUAUUACGACGAACAGGACUAGUAUUUAAAUUGUCAUAAACUGGUUCGUCGUAAAUUAGACGUACUAUUACGUCCACAUAUCUCGUCGUAAGUUAGUCGUUGUUAUGUUGUCGUAAAAGUGGUUGUAAAAAUUAGGUUAGAUGGGCAUAAAUUUAUGACGAAUUCACGUUAAAAUUCGACGUUAAUUAGUCAAAACUUUUACUACUAGUUUACGACAAAUUAACAUUAGUAUUUAUUCAUUUAAAACAAUUGUUUUAAAUUAUAAAUAUAAAAAAAAAAAAAAAAUUUGCAAAAUUAUUUAACUUUGAAAAUUAAAAUAAAAAUCUAAUAUAUUAAAACUUUAUAAUAUCCAAAAUAUAUUACAAACCAAAAAAAUUAAACCUAAAGGCCAAGUCGUCACGUAGCUCUGAACUACGGCGCUCGGUAUGUCGCUCUAGCUCUGCCUGCUCUUCCGGUGUGCGGUUGGGAUUUAUGUUUGGACGUACCACCCACCACAUCUCCGCAAAUUCUGGGUUCGCAUCCGCCAUGAGAUCAAACAUCGACGCCAUGGCAAUCAUCUGGGUCAUGUUCUCCGCCAUGACGGUGUUGGCAACCAACAAAGCUUCCCAGAGCUGAGAAAUUUCCUCCCUUGCAGCAACGUGACAUGCUCUCGUCCUCGGAAUAUCGUUCACUGAACCGAUUCCGACCAUCCAUUCCUUUCUUCGAGACAACCUGUAAUUAAUUAAUGAAUUUGAUUAUUAGUAAAUAUAUAUUAAUUAUUAUAAAAUUAUUAAAACAUAUUAAAAUGUAUAUAAAAAUAUAUUAAUUACUUUUUCGAAAAUUUUGUCAUGUUCGACGGUCGAUAACUGAACCGGGGCAAAUCUGGAUUUUGUUGGGUCUAGACCUCUUGGAUCUGAGCUUCCACACCGUUGUGGAUCCGUUCUACCCGAGCAUCCACGAACGUUCCAUCCGCAUGUUGGUGCGUCUUCUUGUAAAGUCGGGAAAGAGAAAGUGCUUCUCCUCCCUCAACAGCCUAUACAAAAAUUUUAUAAUAAUACGAGCAUUAAUAAACAAUUUAUUAAUUAUUACAAAAAAAAAAUAAUUAACACUUACGAUCUUUAGGGCAACUCCGGUAUGUGGGAUAUGUCCAGAAGUAUGGGGCAAUGGUAAAUUUUCUUCUGCACCAGGCAUCAACUGGUCUGUUAAGCAAUUGUUGGAUGUGCGAAUCGAGAGAGGCAAUAGCCAAAAGGCCUCCAAGUCUCUCCAAGUCUUAUCGCUGACGUCGGUGGGUUUUGCAGCAUCACAUUGAUACCUCCUUUUCUCUUUCCAGUCGCCAACAAUGUUCUUAAGGUUGUCCAUCGCCUUAGUGUUGAACGCCUUCUUCACUUGCUCGUUGACGGUAAUAGACCAAUUCUAAUUUCACUGGAAAAAAAUUAAUUCAUUAAUAAAUGUAAUAAAUAAAUUGGAAAACAAAAUAUAUAAAAUAAAAUUUAAAAUAAAACUUACUGCAAAACACUUGAACCAAGUCCUUCGAAUGUGUUCCGGUGUAAGAGUCUAGUUCGGAUGCGCUUCAGAGAAGUAUGACUUGAUGGUCUCUGAAACGGAUCGUCCAAGGCAACUGUCUGUCUUAAACCUGUAAAAUUGAUAGAAAACUAAAUAAGGUAUAUAAUUAUAAUAAAUGAAUAUAAAUCUAAAAAAAAUUACAAAUCUAACAAAAAUUACCAAUAAGUGUUUGGUGGUCGAUCAUGGUCGAUGAUGGGUAAGCCAAGACCGGUAACCAGUUUUUGAAUCUCAUAAUAAGAUUCAGCUGACAAAUUAUCUUCGGGCAAAUACUUUUUAAACAACUCAGCCCAUGCAUCCAUACAAACUUCGGGUAAUUUAUGAUCAGUUUUGAUAUUCAUCAUCCUAGCUGCCAAUGACAAUUUAGAAAGACUUUCUCUACAACCUUCAUAAAUUGGCUGAUUAGCUGCAUCUAGUAUUUCAUAGAACCUUUUCGCAUCGAAGUUAGGUUCCUCUAACUUUUCUACUUCUGCAGCAGCUACUAUUUACUAAAGUUGUUUCACGAAAUGCAUCUGUAACCAUGUCAUGCAUCCUAUCAUGAUCUACAAUAUGAUCUUUCUGAGGAUGACUACUUUCAAGAUGCAAAUGAUCAUUCGGUUCUUCCCUAUUACCACCAUCUUCAUAGUGAGUACUACUACUAGUUUCAUUCCUACUUUCACCUUCUCCAUGAUGAAACCAAAUUUAGUAUUGUGGGGUAAAUCCUGUAUUUAUUAUAUGUUUCCAAACCGUUUCACUACGAGCAAACUUGGUAUUCUUGCACUUACGACAUAGACAUAACAUUUUACCCGUUUCAGGCGUGAGAGGUGUGUUUCCGACCUGAUACUUGAAUAUCUCUGUUCCGUUGAGAAAUUUGUUUCUCACAACUCCCGCAUAAUCUUUAUGUGCAUACAUCCAACUCUAGACCUUAUAAAUAUUGCCACCAUUAGACAUUUUUUGAACUUUUUUUUGUGCAUCUUUAGAAUGGGAGAUGAGUGCAUAUUUAUAGGAAAUUUUCGAAUUUGGUAGGUGAGAAUGUUGCAACAAAUUUACUACUUCAUAAAAUUUACUUUAACUUAACAACUAUAUUACAACCAUUUUUACUGACAAUACAUACAAAUAUUUAUCACGUGUACAACAACUUUCUGUUUACUCGUAAUGUAAUAGUUAAUUAGAUCAUAAUAAUUUAUGACAUAAUUUAUUAGUAAUGUAAAAGCUACUUUACGACGACAUUUAGAAAUCGUCGAAACUCGUCGUAAAUAUCGUAAGGCUACGGCAAAUUUAUGACAAAUUGUUCUUGUUGUAUGUUUACGUCGAGUUUACGACGAUUUUGAAUAUAGACAUAAUAUUGACAUAAAUUCGUCGCAAAAUUAGGACCAUAAUUUUUAGUUGUAGUUGUUACUGGAGCGUUUACUUGUAAUGUUACUGUAUAUUUUAUGUAUGUAUAUUCCUCUCCAGCAACUACGCUUGAUGUAAUUGUGACCACGAAUAAAACUAAUUAAGUGAUUCCCGAUUAUAUGACAAAAAGAAAUUCUAGCCACAAUUUACGACCUUAUAACAUUAAGUGUAGCUGCGUUGUAUUAUUGUUAUCCAAGUUCUUGGAAAAAGUAAAAACCAAAACUUCAAAAACUUUCUGUUGUUGGUAUGCUAUGAAAAUCUUUUAAUGUAUUAUCUUUUAAAUUUUAAAAAUUAAAUUGAGUUUCAGUUUAUUUUCUUCUAUUUUAAAUGAAACUAGUAAAAAUAAAUUUACUACUUUAUUUUUAGAAUAAAAUAUUUUCUGUUCUGUUAUAGAAUAAAAAAUGAAAUAAAUUUAAAGAAUAGUUUAUUCUAAACUCAGUUUUUUGGGCAAAUUCCAGACUUUGUUUUAGAGUAGAAAAUAAGGUGUUAACAAUCAUUAGUGGUAGGGUUUUUCUAAGAGUGUUUAACCAAUACAAAUUUAGCAUAAUAUAAUUCUGUUAUUAACUUCAAAAAAAAAACUUCAGUCAAUGAAGCAAGAUAAUUUUUUUUGGGACUACCAUUUCUUGGGUGUAUCUGGAGACGUUGCUCAUUCAUUAUUUUAAUAUUGAGUAUAAUGAAGUAAUAAACCUAAACUGACUUCAACCAAUAUAAACUGCAAUGGUGAAAAAUUAAACCAAGGCGUUGGGGUAUCUGUGGAUUGUGGACGGUUUCGAUGAACACCUGUGGACAAGCUGUUCAUUCAAAGCUUUAUUAAUCGUUAGAUAUAUGAUCUAACGGUCUAGAAUGUCUCUUCCUCAGCCGUUCAUAACUCAACCCGAUCGACAUUGUAUUGGAAUUACGAAAAAGGCCAACUGGGCCCAACGUGUCCUCUGGCGUCGAGUCCUCUGUUUACAGGGACAUUAAUGUACUUUAACCGGAUCUCUCGUUCACCUCCUAGUCACAGCCACAUGGCUUGUGAGACAGACAUACAAAUAAUGUAACUCUCCUUCUUAAUCGUCGAUCUAAACAGACCCAACUCCAGAUCUCUCCACGUGUCACCGUGAUAUUGGAAACUUGUGACAGUCCGUGAGUACAGAGUCACCCAGGUACUAACAGCUUUAAAAAAGCUUCUCGUCCUCUUCCUCAAGCCUCCUCUUUAACCUCACCAUGAAAGUUCAGAGAAACUAAGAACAUAACUGAAACUCGAGUUUGGUCAGCACAGAUCUUUUACGAAGAUGGUUUCGGUGGAGGAUCCGUUACCUCACUCGAAUUCAACCCGUUUCCCGUUAACAACCGACUUCUACGGCUCAUCUUCUCCGUCGGCGGCGAAGAUACACCGUCAAGUCGGCCGAUCGAUGAGGACGGUGAGAUCUAACUUCUACCAAAGCGGCGAUCAAUCUUGCUCUUUCGUCGGCUCCGUCGGCGAUAAAUCGGAGUACGCGUCGGAGUAUCUGUCGGACUCCGUCAUCGACAUGAGACUCGGCGAGCUCGCGUUGAAGAACAGUAACUCAGUUCACUCGAUCGCUUCCUCAUCGAAAGAAGAAGCCUUUCUCGAUAUUUCUCAGGCGUUUAGUGAUUUCUCCGCUUGUAGCAGCGACAUCUCCGGUGAGCUACACCGUCUCGCUUGCUUGCCGUCGCCGGGUACAGACAGAACGGAGAACGACGGAGAUAAAGAAGAGCAAGAUCCGGAGCCGUGUCUAGGGUUUCUGGAGAGGGAGAACUUCUCCACUGAGAUUAUCGAGUGUAUCUCCCCGGAAGAUCUGCAGCCGACGGUGAAGCUCUGCAUCGACGGACUCCGCUCAUCUUCCGUGGCGAUUAAACGAUCCGCCGCGGCGAAGCUGAGGCUCCUGGCGAAGAAUCGAGCUGAUAACCGUGUGUUGAUUGGCGAAUCUGGAGCUAUCCAAGCUCUGAUUCCGCUUCUUCGUUGCAAUGAUCCGUGGACGCAGGAGCACGCGGUGACAGCUCUCUUGAACCUCUCUCUCCACGACCAGAACAAAGCUGUGAUAGCCGCGGGAGGAGCUAUCAAGUCUCUCGUGUGGGUUCUCAAGACGGGGACGGAGACUUCGAAGCAGAACGCGGCGUGCGCGUUGCUCAGCCUCGCGCUCGUGGAGGAGAACAAGAACUCGAUCGGAGCUUGCGGCGCGAUUCCGCCGCUUGUUUCUCUGCUGCUGAACGGGUCUUGCAGGGGGAAGAAGGACGCCCUCACGACGCUUUACAAGCUAUGCACGCUUCAGCAGAACAAGGAGAGAGCGGUUACCGCCGGAGCGGUGAAGCCGUUGGUGGAUCUUGUGGCGGAGGAAGGGACUGGGAUGGCGGAGAAGGCGAUGGUGGUUCUGAGCAGCCUGGCGGCGAUUGAGGAAGGCAGAGAGGCUAUUGUAGAGGAAGGAGGGAUCGCAGCGCUUGUAGAGGCUAUCGAGGAUGGAUCGGUGAAAGGGAAAUAGUUUGCGGUCUUGACGCUGUUGCAGCUUUGUGCUGAUAAUGUCAGGAACCGUGGGUUGCUUGUGAGGGAAGGUGCGAUUCCUCCGCUUGUGGGUCUCUCUCAGAGCGGCGCCGUCAGCGUUAGAGCUAAACGCAAGGUAAAAAACUUAAAACAGAUUUGACUUAGCUACUAAACCUUUGAGAGUCUUGUGUUAUGGAACUCUAACAGAUCUAGUUUUACUAGUGAAUCCAUUUGAUGAUUUAUUGUGGAUGUAUGAAAAGCUUGAGCUUGAUGGGUCUUCAUCUUUUGUUUUCUAUUGUGCAGGCAGAAAGACUAUUGGGUUAUCUUAGGGAGCCAAGGAAGGAGGGAAGUUCAUCAUCAAGCCCUUGAAAAUGAUUUGCAUGGGUUCCCUUGAAUGAAACCAUAUUGGGACGUUUUCAGCAGUCUAGUAUUGUAUAUACUGAGUGUAUGUUUGGUGGGUUUUGUAUAGCAUCUUUAUGUAGACUACUGUAAAAGGAAGAUCAAAUUAGUGCCAGAAACUUUGACUACUUUUGAUCUUCCUUGUAUUGAUGUUAAGCUAGUUUUAUAUGUGUGAGAGUGCUAUUUGGAUUACAAGUCUAGCAUUCAGUUUUUCUGUUGGUGUGAGUGGUGGAAUUUGCUGAUUUUUAAGGCAAAAAGCUUCUAGUGUCGGCGCAAAUGCAAUGUUUAAGAGCAAAGCAAUUUUAAUCAAUUAUUUUUUUCUCUUAUCUGAAUCAAUUAUUGUUGGAUCUUUGAGUGUUGUUUGUGGAUCCGUGUCUGAGUAUGUGGACAAACCGGUGGAUCUGGUAGAAGAUUUUUGUUCUGGCACCGCUGUAAUGUCUUGUCCUAUAAUAGUAAUGGUUAUCGUUGAAACAGUAGUUUGGCCCACUACAUAGACACUGAUAGUUAUGCCUGUCUCCAAAGAAUAACAUUUUCACUUAUUAAAACUUUGUUGCUUUCGGUUCACAAAGUUGUCUGCCUUAUUCAUUGACAUAAGCUUUUGGGGAUAGUUGUCAAAUCAUAGAGAAGUUUGGUUGAGGUUUUUAAAGUGUUCUUGAUACUACGUAAGUACGUAUUAUUCCUGUUUCAUACAAGAUAGAAACUGGAAAGUUGCAACAAUAUUAAUUAAAUAGAGAAAUACAAACUUCAUCUUAAGCUGUAUCAACGUCUUUAGCCUUGUUCUUCCGCCGCAAGAGACUUGGCUUGAAGCCGACCUCGAGCAACUUCUCGACCUCCUCAAACUGAAGUCCUUUGGUCUCAGGCACAAGCAGCCAAAUAAAGAAGAGUCCAACCGUAGAGAAGCCCGCAAAGAGAAGGAAAGUCCCAGAGGAGCCUAGAGCAUGUGUGAGGGAGAGAAAGCUCUCACUCACAAUGAGAUUAGAGACCCAGUUCGAGACAGCAGCUAUGCCUCCGCCAAGACCUCUGUAUCUAAGCGGAUAGAUCUCAGAGUUGACAAUCCAUGGGACAGUACCCAUACCUGGAGCGUACACUACGAUGUAAAGCCCCAAAAACACUAUAGCCAAGAACCCAAACUUGCUUGGACAUCCAUCUUUGAAAUAUGUUCUUCCCCUCGAGUGACACGUCGCCUUCAUGUCGUCAGAUAACACCACGCAUGCUCCUGGCGCGUACGGUUGCACGCCGCUAGCGCAGAAUCCACAUUCCGACCUGAGACACUUCAUGCAGUUCCACCUCGAAGGAGGAGCGUUUGGGACUGCGAGAGGAGCAAACGCUGGACAAGUAGCGUUUGGAGCAAACGUGGUUGACUCCACUGCAUCAAUCUUGGGGGCGUGGAUAGCCGCUUGUGCGAAGACAAUCGCUAAGAUGAUAAGACAAGUUAUGAUCCCAAACAUAGAGAUGAUCAUCAGCUUCCUUCUACCGUACCGGUCCACAAACAUCAUGCUCACAAUCGAACCAAUCGCGUUCAGACCAGAAGUUACAAGAGACAAAGCCAUCGCUGUACUGUUGGAGGCGUAGCCAGCGAACUGCACAAUGGAGGGACUGUAGUACAUCACAGUGUUGAUCCCGACAAACUGCUGCGCCACCUGGACAGUAAUACCAGCCGCGAGUCCACGUCGGACGACAGGAUUCGCGAAGGCUCCUUUGAGUUUGGCGCCGAAACUAUCUCCGAUGAUGGCCUCGUCUGCUUUCUCCGCCUCCACGGACUCUUUCAACGCUUCCAUCUCCGCCUCCACUUCGUCCUCCGGGUAAAUCUUCUCCAAGAUUGCUCUCGACUCCGCGACCCUGUCCUUCCUGUACAACCACCGUGGAGAUUCCGGCAAGGACCACAUCAACACAAACUGAAUUAUCGCCGGAACUCCCGCAACUCCCAACAUCCACCUCCAUGUCCCCGGAGUCUGUUAAAGUAUACAUUUUUAAUCAAAACCUCACCACACAAAGAUUGAAGCUUUUAGAUUUACUUACGUGGACAAAGGCGAGAUUGAUGAGGUAAGAGAAGAACUGUCCUCCGGUGAUUAAAAGACCGUUGGUGCUAACAAGCGCACCUCUGAUUCUCGCCGGAGAAGCUUCCGAUAUGUAAAGCGGCGACGUCAUCGAAGCCAUACCGACGCCGAACCCAACGAAGAUUCUCCCGACGAUGAUAACCCAAGGAGCCGGAGCAAACGCCAUGACGAUGGCCCCGAUCAAGAACAGCACGUCGGCGAUGAGAAUCGACAUCCUCCUUCCGAAUCUGUCGUUGAUCCAACCUCCUACGGCCGCUCCGACGAUGGCUCCGGCCACCGCCAUGCUGACGAUAGUCGACUGGAGCCAUGUUUUCCUAUCGACCUCGUCGAAGUCUUCUUUGAUGAAGAGAAGAGCGCCGGAGAUGACUCCGGUGUCGUAACCGAAGAGAAGACCUCCGAUUCCGGCGGAGAGAGCGAGGCGCAUGAUGUAAGGGGUCUUCCAUGUCGUCCUCCAACACUCUGUGAACUCUGUUUUGUCUGCUUUCGCUAUUCCUCCUUCCACCAUCUUUUCUCCUCUAAAGACUGAGAUUCUUUCUCACACACUAUGGCUGUGAAUUGUGAUGACAUUACACAAAUGUUAAAUUAUAUAAUAUCUUGGAAGAAUAUCGAAAAACGAGAAUCUGGAGUCCUCUUCGUCAUUAAAGCUUUUGAGAUUCUUUCCAUUCAAACACAUUGUGUAUUAUAUAUCAGGACAAACAAAAUAUACUAAUAAGUUAAGAAACAAAAGUCAACGUUUGAAGUUUGAACAAGAUUUCGAGUCUCACCAGAGGGAUAAAUUAUUCAAAAAUUGUUACGGUGUUAACUGUUAACUGCACAAGGAUGGUAUCUUAAAAAAACACAGUGAAUAUGAUUGAGAGAGAGAGAGGAUAGAAGAUGAGAUGAAUUGGAUAAGAUUCUCUAGCUGUAAAACUAUAGUAAUGGGACCCAGGUAACUAAUCUCCUUUGACUACUGUAUCUCUCUGAAUAGGUCUUUACAGAAUCUUAAAAUCUAAUACAAUAAUAAUUUAUAGAUAAUGAAACAAAAUGAAAAUAACACAAUAAAUUAAUAUAUAAAUAUCUUAAUUUCUAGUUAUUCGUACACAAUUGUCUCUAAGAACAUGUUUAACGGGGGUUGUUAGUGUGAAAUUUUUAACGUAAUAUAAGAACACGUCUUUUAACUUUUAACUAAAAAACUAAGAAUCGUUAUUUAAAAACCGGUUCUUAGAUUUUUUAGUUACAAAUUAAGAGACAGAUUCUUAUAUUCCGCUAACAAUUCUACCCUAAAACCUCUAUUAAACAUGCUCAAAGUAUCUUAAGUUCUGACUACUCUUUCCGUCUCAAAAAUUAAUGCAUGUCAAAUUGACUAUUUAAAAACAUAUAUUUGAUCUAUUAAUCUCAUGCGUAAAAAGUUAAACGUCUCUUUUCCUUUCGAUAACGUAUAUUAUCCCUUUUCUUUUGCUUUGGAAAGUUAAAUUGUUGACCUCACACGUACUCAAUAGUCACUUUUAAUAGAUCAAACUAAGUGUUUUGUCUGCGAUGCGGGCUUAAACAUUUUCAUAAUUUUUGAAAAAAAAUUUGUACAUUAUAUUCAUAAUUUUAAUAAAAAAUUUAUUUGAUUAAUAUUUAAUUAUAUAAUUUAUAUUUUUAACUUUUUACUAAAAUACUUUUUCAGAUAACAAUACAAUAUAUAUAUAGAAAUUAUUUUUUUAAUUAUAUAUUUAGAUUUUGGUUAAUUCAAUAUUCUAUUUUUAAUUAUAUAAUGAAGAAUUUUAUUUGAUUAAUAUUUAGUUAUAUAAUUCAUGUCUUUUUACUAAAAGACUUUUUAAGAUAACAAUACAAUAUAUACAUAAAUUAUCUUUCUUUAAAUUAUAUUUUCAGAUUUUGGAUAAUUCUUACUAUUAUUAAUUUUAAUCAAUAUAGAAAUUAUCUUUUUUAAUCAUAUUUUAGAUUUUGGUUAAUUAAAUAUUCUAUUUUUAAUUAUAUAAUUAAAAAUUAGAUUUGAUUAAUAUUAGUUAUAUAAUUCAUGUUUUUAACUUUUUACUAAAAGACCCUUUCAGAUAACAAUACAAUAUAUACAUAAAUUAUCUCUUUUAAAAUAAAUUAUUAAUUUUAAUCAAUUAUCUAAUCAAAUAAAUUAAAAUUUCAUUUUUAUUUUUUAAUUUAGUUAUAAAUUUUAUUCAUUAAGGGUAUAAAUGAUAUUAAUCACUCUAACUUUUAAUGUGAGAGUUCGAUUCCCAAAACUUAAUCAAAUAAAUUAAAAUUUUAUUUUUAUUUUUUAAUUUAGUUAUACAUUUUAUUCAUUAAGGAUAUAAACGAUAUUAACCACUCUAACUUUUAAUGUGAGAGCUCGAUUCCAAAAACUUACUUCGUAAAUAAUAGUAUAGAUUUAUGUUGCAGUGAAUAAUAUUUUUGAUCUUUUUUUUUUGACAACCAAUGUUUUUGAUCUUAUUUCCCUAAUUUCAUUUGAUUGUCUCAAUAUCUCUUCGAAUAGAUUACCAUUCAAAGGGUCUAAGAAUAACCUUGCAAUAGUAUAUAAUAAGAUUUUUUAUUGUUAAUAAUAAAUUAAAUAGGAAAAAAAGAAAAAAAAAAGAAAGAAGGUCUAAGAGAUAUCUGACCACCACAUAACUAGUCAUGCAAACUAAAUUAAUGUAUAGUUAACUAUAUGGAAUAUAUGUUAUGUAUGAAAACAUUCCUCAACUUCCUGAUGCUAUGUAGUUGACAUCACAAGCUUAAUUUUACUUUUACUGAUCCAAAAUGUGAUGUGGACAUUAGAGACAUUAAUUUCGCCUAAGUUUUUUCGUUGAUAAAUUAAAAUAGACCUUCCUCGUUGUGAUUUAACUAAAAUUUGACCGAAUUCAGUAUAGUAAAACAAAAUGAAAUUUGGCCACAAAUUUAACCUUUGUUAAGGAAAAUGUAAUUACAAUAUACAAAUUUCCUCUACUAUAAGAAUUAUCGUAUGAAUCUAUUGUCUAGGAUAUAUGCCUAUUUAGCGAACGUAAACUGAAUAAACAAAUUUAUUUUUCAUCAAACACAUAAUUUGAGAGAAGUUAUUUUAAACUUUCAAAUUACAUCAUCUAGAUUUUUCAAAGGAGAGGAAAUUUUACCUGGUUAAUAAAAAUUGCAAAUCAGAUCUUCUGAAACUCCUAUUGAUUUUCUUUUACAAUUUCGAAAGAUGUUUAUCGAUUUUGCUGAUAGUUUACAUAGAAAGCACUAUGAAUGUUUUUCAAAAUUCUUAUCGAUUUUUCUUCAUAGAAAAAUUCUAUCAAGUUUUGUUUGUGUUUUUGUAUUAUAUAGCAAUCUUUCGAAAGAUGUUAGUGUUUUCAGCUAACAGUUACAAAAACAGUAAUAAGUUAAGUCUUAUGUAUUUAUAGAUGAGACAUUCAGGUUCAAAUUCUAAAUUUAGAAGUGGAAAGAUAAAGAUGUAACAGUAACAACUUGAGGUAAAACAAGUGGUCUAAUAUCCAGCAAUCGAGGAUUAAUUUUAGGUAAACAUUUGGGAUAAGAACAAGUCACUAACAAAUGGUAGUAAUGUUUAGUGGUUUUUUUUUUCUUAUCCACACGGUAAUUAAGCAACUGUUUAUCCUAAAGUUGUGUGGUGUUGAUAGUCAUAAACCGCAAUAGUUUGAGCUGGCUAUUAUUGGUAUAUAUGAACAACAUGUCAUCCAAAUUCUGAGUUGCAAAAAUAAGUCUUUGCACAAGGAAUUCAUAAUAAAUGUAUAAGAUAUACAUGUAGUGUUACAAAAAAAAGAUAAACAUGUAUAGUAUAUAAACUAGAUUUUGAACUGCACUUAAAAAGUGUGGAAUAUCUUACGUUGUAAAAAUCCAAACUAGUUUUGUUAUUUUGUUACAAAUGUUAAAAUAGAUAAAUCCAUCUUGUUUAAACACAUUUCCUUUUUAACCAAUCUCUUUUAAAUUUCAAAUCCAUUUAAAUCCAUCAACUUUUUUUAAUUGGAUUAUUCAUUUGGUUAGUGUACAAAAUGUUAGUAUAUAAACAUCUAAAGUUGUUCUUUAAAUUAUAUUUUCAGAUUUUGGAUAAUUCUUACUAUUAUUAAUUUUAAUCAAUAUAGAAAUUAUCUUUUUUAAUCAUAUUUUAGAUUUUGGUUAAUUAAAUAUUCUAUUUUUAAUUAUAUAAUUAAAAAUUAGAUUUGAUUAAUAUUAGUUAUAUAAUUCAUGUUUUUAACUUUUUACUAAAAGACCCUUUCAGAUAACAAUACAAUAUAUACAUAAAUUAUCUCUUUUAAAAUAAAUUAUUAAUUUUAAUCAAUUAUCUAAUCAAAUAAAUUAAAAUUUCAUUUUUAUUUUUUAAUUUAGUUAUAAAUUUUAUUCAUUAAGGGUAUAAAUGAUAUUAAUCACUCUAACUUUUAAUGUGAGAGUUCGAUUCCCAAAACUUAAUCAAAUAAAUUAAAAUUUUAUUUUUAUUUUUUAAUUUAGUUAUACAUUUUAUUCAUUAAGGAUAUAAACGAUAUUAACCACUCUAACUUUUAAUGUGAGAGCUCGAUUCCAAAAACUUACUUCGUAAAUAAUAGUAUAGAUUUAUGUUGCAGUGAAUAAUAUUUUUGAUCUUUUUUUUUUGACAACCAAUGUUUUUGAUCUUAUUUCCCUAAUUUCAUUUGAUUGUCUCAAUAUCUCUUCGAAUAGAUUACCAUUCAAAGGGUCUAAGAAUAACCUUGCAAUAGUAUAUAAUAAGAUUUUUUAUUGUUAAUAAUAAAUUAAAUAGGAAAAAAAGAAAAAAAAAAGAAAGAAGGUCUAAGAGAUAUCUGACCACCACAUAACUAGUCAUGCAAACUAAAUUAAUGUAUAGUUAACUAUAUGGAAUAUAUGUUAUGUAUGAAAACAUUCCUCAACUUCCUGAUGCUAUGUAGUUGACAUCACAAGCUUAAUUUUACUUUUACUGAUCCAAAAUGUGAUGUGGACAUUAGAGACAUUAAUUUCGCCUAAGUUUUUUCGUUGAUAAAUUAAAAUAGACCUUCCUCGUUGUGAUUUAACUAAAAUUUGACCGAAUUCAGUAUAGUAAAACAAAAUGAAAUUUGGCCACAAAUUUAACCUUUGUUAAGGAAAAUGUAAUUACAAUAUACAAAUUUCCUCUACUAUAAGAAUUAUCGUAUGAAUCUAUUGUCUAGGAUAUAUGCCUAUUUAGCGAACGUAAACUGAAUAAACAAAUUUAUUUUUCAUCAAACACAUAAUUUGAGAGAAGUUAUUUUAAACUUUCAAAUUACAUCAUCUAGAUUUUUCAAAGGAGAGGAAAUUUUACCUGGUUAAUAAAAAUUGCAAAUCAGAUCUUCUGAAACUCCUAUUGAUUUUCUUUUACAAUUUCGAAAGAUGUUUAUCGAUUUUGCUGAUAGUUUACAUAGAAAGCACUAUGAAUGUUUUUCAAAAUUCUUAUCGAUUUUUCUUCAUAGAAAAAUUCUAUCAAGUUUUGUUUGUGUUUUUGUAUUAUAUAGCAAUCUUUCGAAAGAUGUUAGUGUUUUCAGCUAACAGUUACAAAAACAGUAAUAAGUUAAGUCUUAUGUAUUUAUAGAUGAGACAUUCAGGUUCAAAUUCUAAAUUUAGAAGUGGAAAGAUAAAGAUGUAACAGUAACAACUUGAGGUAAAACAAGUGGUCUAAUAUCCAGCAAUCGAGGAUUAAUUUUAGGUAAACAUUUGGGAUAAGAACAAGUCACUAACAAAUGGUAGUAAUGUUUAGUGGUUUUUUUUUUCUUAUCCACACGGUAAUUAAGCAACUGUUUAUCCUAAAGUUGUGUGGUGUUGAUAGUCAUAAACCGCAAUAGUUUGAGCUGGCUAUUAUUGGUAUAUAUGAACAACAUGUCAUCCAAAUUCUGAGUUGCAAAAAUAAGUCUUUGCACAAGGAAUUCAUAAUAAAUGUAUAAGAUAUACAUGUAGUGUUACAAAAAAAAGAUAAACAUGUAUAGUAUAUAAACUAGAUUUUGAACUGCACUUAAAAAGUGUGGAAUAUCUUACGUUGUAAAAAUCCAAACUAGUUUUGUUAUUUUGUUACAAAUGUUAAAAUAGAUAAAUCCAUCUUGUUUAAACACAUUUCCUUUUUAACCAAUCUCUUUUAAAUUUCAAAUCCAUUUAAAUCCAUCAACUUUUUUUAAUUGGAUUAUUCAUUUGGUUAGUGUACAAAAUGUUAGUAUAUAAACAUCUAAAGUUGUUGUGCAUAGUGAAUUGAGUUUUCAUAUAAAUAAAUGUACAACUAAUUUCCUUUAUGUUAGCUUUUGUUUUUCUUUUUCAUUUCUUAACAUAUUUCUCAAAAAGUUAACACACAGUUGGUCUAAGAUAAGUGUACAACUAACUUGACUUCUUCUAUGCGAUUUGAAAACAAAAGAAUUUUUUUUAUAUCGCCUAAUUUAGUUUCUAUUAAAUGAUGAUGAUAUUAUAUUAUGGUAAGAUAUGUUAGUAUAAUUGAGGAAAUAUAAGUAACAUAAUUUCUUUUAUUGAUGUGUUAUUAAUAAGUAAUCAUUGAAUGAACAUUAUAUGUAAAAUUCAUUUAUGAAAAAUAGCAGAAAUUUUUUUUGGUAAUUAUAACUAAUUUUCCUAAUUAUAUAAUUAAAAUUAAAACUCAAUGGCACAGUUGUAAUAUUUAAGAAAAUUUAAAGGGAUCUCAAAAAGUACUUCAGUUUUAAUAAUAUAGAUUAGUUUCUAUUAAAUGGUAAGUAUAUUAGAUUUUAGUAAGAUAUGUUAGUAUAAUGGAGGAAAUAUAUAUAACAUAAUUUCUUUUAUUGAUGUGUUAUUAAUGAGUAAUCAUUGAAUUAAUAAUAUAUGUAAAAUUCAUUUAAAGAAAAAUAUAGCAUAAAAUUCAUUUGGUAGUUCUAACUAAUUUCCCUAAUUAUAUAAUUAAAAUUAAAAUUCAAUGGCAUAGUUGUAAUAUUUAAAAAAAAAUUAAGAGGAUCUCAAAAAAGUACUCCAGUUUUACUAAUAUAGAUAUAGUUUAACUCGUCUCUCUCUUUUUGUUCUGUUUUAUCAUCUUCUCUUUUUUUUUUCUUGUCUUCUGUAUGUGCUUUAAACGAAAACAGACUUUGACUAUUAUACGUAGUUUAGUAUUUUUGGAUUAGUAACAAGUUAUGCGUGUUCGCUCUCAGUUCCAUCCAUCUAAUAUGUUUCUCAUUCUACUUCAUGUCCUUUGCUUUUCUUGGCCUUUAUGUCAUAUUUUGAAAUACAAAAUGGUCAGUUUACUAAGUUUCAACGACCAAUGAUUAUGCCUCUUCAUAGGUCUCCUCUGCUAGGAUCAAAGUUUUGUGGAGUGGAGUAGGGUUGCAACACGUGUAGCCAAAGAAUCAGGGUGCGGCAUUAGCUGGUUUGAGACUGAGCCCAACGAAACUUCAUCAAAGGAUGGUAGAUUUAAGGGAUAGUUAGCGUGAAUAUCCAAUAUAUAUGAAAUGUGUAUGUCAAACAUCAUGGAACUAAUCACAGCUUAGUGAUGCGCAUAUGUCAAACACUUGAACUUCAUUUAACUGUUGUUUGAGGAAGUUGGUGCCGCUAAAUUAACGUUCAGCUUCACAAUAAAAGACGGUAAUCUCUUUGUUACAACGUAAUGUCAACCAAUUGUUUGUCACAUAUUUUAUCAGAUAAAAUAAAAAGAAAAACGAGCAGUGCUAAAAGCAAAGUCCCAAUUGGCAUUACUAAAACAAAAUUUAGUAACGUGUUAAAAAAAAUUAGUAAAUUCUUGGAUUAAGGAGGAAAAAUAUUUCAUAUCUUUUAUACGGUGUGAUUCUUAAAUAGACCAGAUUCUUUUUUUUUAAUAACUUUGCUAUAAAAUACAAGGUGUGGAGGAGGAUCAUGAGGAAAAAAAACUAAAAUGAUAGUUGUCAAGAGUGGGAUUUGAACCCACGCCCUUUCGGACCCGCACCUGAAGCGGGCGCCUUAGACCAACUCGGCCAUCUUGACUUGUGUUUAUACAUUUCAGUACAAUUUUCUUAUACUCAGUAUAAAGAUCGAGUUAAACCCUUUUCUCCUGUGCUUGAACCCUAGAGAAAUCGAGGAAUGUAAGGAAUGCAAUUUCUCCCGGAGACGAUCGAUAGCUCAUCAUUUAGUUUCAUGUGGAGAAGCCCUCUCCUCUCAUUCCUCAUCUCCUCGGGAAUGUUGGUUUCAAAACAGAGAACGUUAAUAAAAGAUUCUUCCUUUAUCAGCUUCUCUUCCUCCUCAAUCUCCCGUCUUUUGCGCGAUUUAGGCUUCACGAUGACAAGUGUCUCGACGGUUUCAACUCUAGAGUUAAAUAGGAACGAGUCUGAUUCCGAUUCUAAGUUUUCCGGCAAAGCGACGGCGAUACUCCGCCGCAUGCUGGCUCAGAGGAAUAUUCCCAGGUUUACCAUCACAAAGUUUAUUUGAUACUAUAAAGUGUGAAGCUUUCAUUGAUAGAACAAAGUUUGGUGUUGACCUGUUAACAUGUUCUAGCUUUCAGGUAGAGCAUCAUAGAAAGAAAGAGCAGCCUGACAAGACACUACAAGGUCUUUGCAUCACUGGGAGGUUGAAAGAAGCUGUUGGGCUGUUAUGGCGCAGCAACGGGUUACAGCUCGAGUCCGAUACUUACUCUAUGCUGUUACAGGAAUGCAAAGAGAGGCGUGAAUACACAAAAGGGAAACGAGUACAUGCUCACAUGGUCGUUGUGGGAUUCGCUCCGAGCGAGUAUUUGAAAGUCAAGUUGUUGAUACUUUACGCCUUGUCAGGGGAUCUUCAAACAGGUGGGAUUCUCUUCCGUGGUUUGCAGUCGAGGUGUUUGAUCUCCAGGAACGCAAUGAUCUCAGGGUGUGUUAAAAAGGGUCUUGAACAAGAAGGGCUUUUUAUGUAUUACGAUAUGAGAUACUGUGGUUUAGUUCCGGAUCAGUAUACUUUUUCUUCCGUGUUUAGAGCGUGUUCUGCGUUGGCGUCGUUGGAACACGGGAUGAGAGCUCAUGCUGUGAUGGUAAAGACUUGUCUUAAGUCGAAUGUUAUAGUCAAUGGUGCUCUUGUUGAUAUGUACUUCAAGUGCAGCAGUGUCUCUGAUGGGUACAAAGCGUUUGAUCAGUUUUUAGAUAGAAACGUGGUUACGUGGACCUCGUUGAUGUCUGGAUACGGGUAUCAUGGACAAGUUUCGGAGGUGUUGAAGUGCUUUGAGAAGAUGAAGGAAGAGGGUUGCAGACCGAACUCUGUCACGUUUUUGGUGGUUCUCACUGCUUGUAGCCAUGGAGGUUUGGUUGACCAAGGUCGGGAGUAUUUUGAUUCUAUGAAGAGAGAUUACGGGAUUGAGCCUGAGGGACAGCACUAUGCAGCUAUGGUUGAUAUCUUAGGGCGUGCUGGUAGGCUACAAGAGGCGUACGAGUUUAUAAUGAAGUCACCGUGCAAGAAACAUGCUCCGGUUUGGGGAUCUUUGCUGGGAUCAUGCAGGAAUCAUGGGAAUGUGGAGCUGCUAGAGCUCGCAGCUACUAGAUAUUUUGAGUUGGAUCCAACGAACGGUGGGAACUACGUGGUGUUUGCCAAUGGAUACGCGAGCUGUGGAUUGUUGGAAGCUGCCUCGAAGGUUAGGAGGAGAAUGGAGAAUGCAGGAGUUGAAAAAGAUCCAGGCUAUAGCCAGAUCGAGUUACAAGGUCAAGUUCAUAGGUUCAUGAGGAAUGACACGUCUCACAGACUCUCUAGAAAGAUACACAACAAGGUCCAAGAGAUGGCUUCUCUGUUUAUGGAUGUUGACUACUAUCCAGAUGACUUGGACACUAAUUGAUAGAGGUUGUGUGACCAAGACAACUUGCAGUUAGCUGUCAGAAAUCUGUGUCCAAUUGAAUGUUGUAGCAGUCUCUCUCUCAUAUGGAAACCAGUGAUGAUGGAGAAGUGAUAGGGUCUGGAAAAUCUACACAAGUUUUGAUUUGGAUGGCUAACGUACUAAUUGGCUGAAGAAAAUUUGUUGUAUCACUUGCCAAAAACAAGCAGAGGAAGCUGCCACAGGGUUGGAGAAGUCAGGAGGAAAGUAAUUAGCAUGACAAAUCCCAGAUGAGGUGUAGAAGAAACAAAAGCUCCAUUAUACUGAAUGUCAUGAAUGAGUAUAUACAUAUUCUGUGAUUUAUAGGUUGUAAGGAGUUUUCUUUCUUUAUUCGACAUUCAUGGAACAUAUUUCUGUGUAAACCGAAUCACUAUCUGAAAGCGUAGAAGAUUCUUGAAGAAGUGCUGGGGGAAUAUGAAAAACAGGUCUCGGAGGGAAUUCCAGAGCAUCCAGGUUCCCUUCCAUCAUCUCUACCACUCUGUUCAUGGGUGGGCGAUCUGAAGGGGAAGAUUGAAUACACCACAAACCCACCAAUGUCAUCUUCCUUGCUAUCUCCUCUUCUUCACAAAUGAUUCCAUUCCCGUUAAGCCUUAUAUUGUCUUCCUUGUCAAGAUCCUUAUAGAUCCAUUCUGGAAAGUACACUGAACUUACAGUGUCUUCAGUUGAUGUUUUGGCCCUUGCGCCUAUCAUCUCAAGAACCAACAUUCCAUAGCUGUAGACAUCUGACUUGUGGGAGACUCUCCCAUACACUCUUGAAAACACUUCGGGUGCAAUGUAUCCUAUCGUGCCCCUCAUGUCCAGUAGUGACAAGAUGCUUUCUUUCCUCUCGCAGAGCUUAGCAAGGCCAAAGUCUGAAAUUUUGGGGCAAAGAUUGUCAUCUAAGAGUACAUUCUGCGGUUUUAUGUCAAAAUGUACAAUCCUUGUGGUGUAAGUACUCGAGCCCACGAGCAACGCCUAAUGCGAUCUCAUAUAGUUUCGUCCAUUCCAUAUUUGAUGACCUAUUGCCUGCGAUGAAUUUAUCAAGAGCUCCAUUUUCCAAGAAUUCACAAAUAAUUGCUCUUUUGGUACCCUCAGCACAAAAUCCUAGCAAGGUAACGAUGUUGACAUGAGAAGUUUCGCUCAUGCUUGCAACCUCGCUGAGGAAGUCUUCACCAUUACCCUUUGUGUUCUUCAAGACCUUCACAGCAACCUUGCGGCCAUCACAAAGGGUUCCUCUAUACACGGUUCCAAAUCCGCCUUUCCCAACCUCUUGCGAAAAUGACUUUGUAAUUCUCUUUACUUGCACGUAGCUAUAGUGUUUCACUGGAAUAAGGGCCUUUAUAUUAAGUUUCCUAGGAGCAUGUGAUGAUGUCUUCCUUUGCUGGCUGAUAAGACAGAAUAAAAUGAUGACCACCAACCAAAAGUGUACUCGAUUAACCGGAAAAAAAAAAAAGAAGCUAGGUUUUCAUAAGAAGUUUACUCUGUUACUGGGAUGUCUUUGCUUGUGUAUUGAGCUUCAUGUGCCUUCUUUCUGCACCUGAUGGAACAAAGCCACCCUACUAUAAGAAAUAACAGUGCCAAUCCGAAAGCAAUUUCCAUUCCUAAGACCAAUAAAACAACAACAACAACAACUUUCAUUGCAAGUCUAUGUUGUUGCCUAUAGUGUGAUAAAAUCAACUGCCUUAAAAAGGUAAGAACCUGCUUUUGCGGCAGCAGAGAAGCCUGCAUCAACACAAGGACGCCAAAAGAGAGGUCAGUUCAAAGUUCAAAUUGAAGAGAAAACAUUGUUCUUUACCAGAAACUAAAAACUUAGAUCAGCUCUUUCUUUGUAACGGAAUUGAUGUAAGAAUUUAGGGAAGAUCCAAUCAAAAUGUGGGUCAAUGGAAGAAUAUUUAGGGAUAUGAAAAACAUAUCUUACCUUUCUUUCUGCAGGUAAGGCUAUACGUCUGAUGUAUACAAUGACAGAUAGAUUCAUUUGACAUCCGGUUAUAUCCACAAGCACCGUCAGAGGCUAUGCACAUCAAACAUUCAUGGUUAAGUCCAACGUUGAAACCCUCUUGAAGAGUCUUCUUCAGAUUAUCUUGAGUUGUAUUUUUCUGCAGUGUGAUCAACGCCGGUCCAGUUGCAGGAAUACUGACGUUUCUUUUGCACUGUCCGCUGAAGUCGUUUAAAAAGCCACCAAUCUCGCUAAGUAAAGGAGACGAGAGGUUUGUCGUCACAUAGUAACUUUUCUCAUCAUCACCACCACAGUCAAGUUCUCCAACUAAAAGAGGAAAACUCCGUGGAAAGUUUUGUGAGCAUCCAUAAUAAAUUGUCAGAUUAUCGGUGCCAGGGACGAAAGGAAGGACGUUUUCGUUGAACUGCGCAUUUAUUGAGUGUUGGGGACAGAAACCACCGAUGUAAUCUGACCUGGCGAGUCUUAUGACACGAGAGGUAGAGUUUGCCUCUAAGAUUCUGAACUUCACGGCAGAGAUGCUAACCUCUGCAAACCUUUCACUGCAUUGGAGCUGGAAGUCGGGGUGGCCGCAUUCGACUCUGCUAGGUAUCCAGAAAGGGUAAAAGAGAUCUGUCUGAUCGCCACAGCUAAAUGAUUGGCUGCAGCGUCUGUGAAGCUCAUCAGCUGAGGAAACACAAUAAGGUAUCACAAAGAGUAUCCAUAUGAUUCUGUAGAACAGAGAAUUUGUAAGGGAUAGAAACAGAAUGAUCAUUGUGUUGAGGUGUCAAUAGGAAAAUGGUGAAGAAAGAAUAAUUAAUGAAUGUCUUAGUUUUGUAAGAAGGAAAAUGGCUAAGAACCUGUGUUUCAGUCAGUCUUCUGAAAACUGGACCAGGCCGGUCGGACACUGAUUUCUUGUUCUAACCGGUUUUGGAUUGUGUUAGAAACCGAAUUUUAGUUAUUCAGGCAAACAUGGUUAAAAACCGGUCAAACUCGGGUUCUAUAUUAAAACCCGGUUUCUCAAAUUCAAAUUAAAGAAAAUUAUAAAGUUUCAAAAGUUUUAUGAAAAGUUUAUAUUGUUUUUAAUAUCUAUUUAAAUAAUUAGUUUUUACUAUAUUUUUAUAUUGCUUUUGAAAGUUUUCAUUCUAGUUUAUAUCAUUUUUAGAUUUUAACAAUAAUAUAAAAAUUUAUAAAAGUAAUAUUAUAGUUAUAUAGUUACUUAACUAAGAAUUAAACUAGAUUUUAAAAUCUGGUUAGACUUGUUCAAUGAUUGAUCCAGCUACAAUGAUAAGCCAAGAACAAUGGUUUCGGUCUUUUGGACAAACCCUCCACAUUAUUAAUAUUGAAGUUUCUUUCUGGAGUUUUUAUUAAUUAUACGAGUCCAAGUUUCUUUUUGACUUAUGUGUCUUAGACUAUCUCUAAUGGUUUAUUCUAUUUUUUACUCUAUAAUAAAAUUUGAGUUUGCUCUAAUGGUGCUAUAUUUUAGAGUUAAAAGUAGAGUGAUGAAAAAAAACAAGUUAACCUAUAUUUAGAGUAACCUAUUUUUCAUUUUAUUAUAGAGUGAGAAAUAAAGUAUCAUUGAAGUACUUUUACUCUAAACUCUAUUUUAGAGUGAAAAAUAGAGUGGAGUUGGAAAUGCUCUUGCGACAAAGACUUUGAAUAUACUAGUAAACAAUGAAAAAGGAAGUGAUUUAAGCGAGUUGUUUUUGUUGAUUGUUUUUAUAGAAAAAAAAACGAGUUCACACCUUGGACUAUAGGAAGUUGGAUUCUUCCUUAGGGUUUUUUUGGUAAAUAACCCAAAAAAAAUUAGAUUUUGGGAGAGGAGUAGAGUAGAGAGAGAUAGGAAGAGGAUGUAAGAGAGAGAGGGGGAUUUUGGUUAGAUUUUUAAAUUUGUUUUGUUUCUUAGCUGCUUGGCCUAAUUUCCCUUUUUCCUUAUAUGAUAAGAUUGUUUUAUAUUUUUAUUGACUUCUAAGCAGGUGCUUGGCAAUUUCCUCAGGAAAAAAAAAUCUCAAAUCUAUGUUCUAUUUUUACAGAAGUUAACCAGCGAAACUGACUGAUGUAGAGGCAAACAGUGGAGUGUUGAAUAAGGCAAAAUUUUCAUUUACUAGGGAAAUGGACUGAUGUAGAGAAAGACUAAUUGGAUGAACGAUAAGGACUAAUUGUUAAGUUGACCGCAAGUUUUCAGCAACUAAAGAAGAUUCAAACCAGUAACGUUUUUUUUAUUACCUUGUCACACCUUCUCUUUUAAUCUCACUCAUAAGCUACGUGACUAUGUCUGAGUGUGUUAAAAUCAACAAAGGAAGGUUGAAACAAAAAAUAGAGUGUGCAUCCAGUUCUCAGAUUUGCUGCUUGGACGGGAACUACUUGCCUCCAGUAUGAGGGGGCGACGAGGUUAUGGUGGCUGGGAACUUCUUGUUUAACCGAAAAGCAAAAAAGAUGGAAAAAUACUUGUAAAACAAAACCGAUAUCUUUCCUAAGAAUUAUGGUAACUGUUUAAUUGAUAUGUGAGAGGGUAGCUGGGUAGGUAAGUAAAGGCGUUGCAGAAUGAGAAAUUUUGUAAAAGGAAAUCUCCUAUCAAGGAUAAUGAUCAUAGGUUUAUUUAAACUGCAACUAGUUAUUGUCGCUAAAGAAGAGGGAUAUGAAAAGAGGAUGCUGAAUAAGAUACUUACUAUCAGGGGGCCGGAGCGUAUUUGUAACAUUUCGAUUUCUAUUAUUUGGUGGUGUAUGUUGAAAAGAAUUAGAAAAUGAUUUGAUUAUGUAUAUCAUUAAAAUAAACUUAUCUCUUCGGUCAUGUGUUCAGCUAAAACGAUUGGCUGCAGAGUCUGCGAGUUCAUCAGCUAAGACAACACUAGAAGGCAGGGGCGGACCCAAGCCUGCAGCAGGUGUGGCACGUGCCACAUGCUACUUUAUAAGUAAUCAUGUAGAAAGUCAUAGACAGAUGAAACUUAUCAAGCUCUAUUCCCCUUAAAUGGUUGAAUGGUGUUCCAUGUAACUCAAGUUCGAACCCGUGAACAUGUUCCUGUUUUUUAGAUUCUUUUUACACACUUUGUUAUAUUUAGUCACCCUUUCAUAAAAUAAAUGUUUAUUUCUCUUUUGUUUUUGUUAUCUAAUAGAAAGGAUUUUCUUUUCUUCCUUUCUUUAAUAUUGGUUUUUACCUUUUCUAAAAUAAAAGUUACUUUAUUUAAGUUUUAUUUUAACAAUUAUGUCUAUCAAUUUAUAUUUUUCAACACUUAAACUACACAACAACUAAAAUGAAUACACUUUGUCAUAUUAAAAUUAUAAUAUCUAUUUUUUAAUAUUACUGAAAAAUGUUUAGCACUAUAAAGAAAUGUUUAUCUUUUUAUAUGACUUGUAUAAAAUAAAUAUAUAUAUUUAAAAAAAGUAAUUUUAGAAAAUAUAAUAUAAUUUAAUUAAACAUAUAAUUUAAUGAAUAAAUUAAUUUAUAAUUAAUAUAUAUGUAUACAUAUAUUGUGCUCCAUGUUAAAUUAUUUUCUGGAUCCGCCCCUGCUAGAAGGUAUUACAAAGGGUAUCCAUAUAAUACUAUGGUUCUGUUAUAUAAAUACAUUAAUUAUUGUGUUGAGGUAAAAUGGUGAAUAAUUAAGAAGAUGUAUUUUGUGAAUGUGUGACUUCAAACUUUCAAAGUCAGGUAGCUUAGAAUUUUCUCAGACUAGUGGAAAAAUAAAUCACAUGUCUUUAUUAGUUUCCCCCAAAAACAAGAAAUUCAGGUCGUUAGGGGGUAAAAUAAUUGUUUAAAAAAAGAUUGAGAGGAAACUUGCUGGUACACAGAACAAGUAUUAAGGUGCAACAAUGACUAAAACAAAAAUCUGGAGGUUUAAGAAUCAUUUCUAUGAAUAUAUAAUCAUUUAUGUCUAAGAAUAUCUAGAUACACCAGACAUCUAAAAUAGUUUCUGUAAAUGCAAGAAUUAUACCAAGAAGUAUAACACAAAGUACAGUAGAAAUUAUCUCUACAAAAUAUGUAUAUUUAUUAGGUUUCUUUUAAAGCGAACUUACAAGUAUCUUUUUAAAUAGAAAAAUCAACAAAAUCAAGAUCAACUUGAUUUGUUACACCAGCUUCACGCGUCCUAAGAUCGAAUACAAGACGUUAGAACUCCUAGUCUUAGAAUUGACUUAUUACACUAGUUUCACACGUCCUAAGAUCAAAUACAAAAAUGAAGCAUCUCCUAUCUAUAAGAAAAAGAGGGAAAAUCCUACUAUCUCCUACAUGGCCUUUUGGGUUAAAAUAUUCCAAAAUAUCUAAAACUUAAAAAUGUUUCGGAAUUGUCCAAAAUACCUGAAAAUAUCCCAAAAUAACCAAAUUAGAUUAUCCUAAAUAGCAAAAAAAAAAUACUUAAAACACCAUAAGGACCUAAAAUAUCAACCGGUUCUUCAUCUAAAUAUUCCAAUCAAUCCAAUCUAUAUAUUAAUUUUAAUUUUUUGGUCAUACAUUAUUCAAAUUUAUAUAUUGUAUAUUAUUUUUUAUUUUAGAUUUUGGAGCGCCUAACUUCAAGGUAUAUUUAGAUGUUUAAAUUUCUUUACAUAAUCUAAGUGGGUAUCCGAACCCAAACCAAACCCGUAAAAAUCCAAACUGAAACCACAUCAAAAUUUAUUACUAUUUGAGUGAAUCUCUAACCCGAAAAUCUAAAGUAUAAAUAGAUUUGAAUUGAACCCGAAUGGAUACCCAAAUAUCCACUCCUAACUUUCCUUUUAAAAUAAAAGGAAAUUGGGCUUGCUGAAUUUUAGGAUGUUACAAAAUCGUCUCCUCUGUUCUUUUGGCCAACAAAUUAUAAGUAAGGAAUUUGCUGUGAGUUGAUUUGGAAAUAAAUCUGUCAAAAGUGUGUUGACGACUUUCAUAAAAAUGGCAGAUUUGUACUUGUGACAGAGUUGAUUGUCUGAUUUUAAUACCACAAGCUUAAUUAUCCAAUUUUAUUUGAAACAAAUUUUUAUGGAUUUGUUUGGCGAAUGAAGUAUUCAAUCUUUAUAUAUAAAAUACAGUUAUCUCUCUCCUGGGCACGCCACCUCAGCAUCCACGUCAAAAAGUCGGAGGCUGUCGUCGCGACACGUGUCCCCUUCAGACAAAACACAUCGUUUCAUUAACUCACGGUAAUUAGAUGGGCUUGGCAGCGGAUGGGUUGAUACGUCUUCCAUUAUUAAAACUCACAGUUUCAUUAACGAUUAUGCAAAAUCGAUAACUUUUGGGCCUUUUGUUUUCUUUAAUUAAGUUGGCUAUGUAUCUUAACUGGGCCUUAAAAUAUAUCUUAAGAAGCCACAUACAUAGAAUGAAAUCCAUCGACAAUAACUUACUCGCGUUAAGAUUUAACGGCGUCGUUGCAGUAACGAUUAAGAGUUCACCCCACCGCCUCUGAUCAGUCCGGCAUUACGGUUUACGACUGCAUUCAAUCAACCUAAUUACCCUUCUCAUUAACGCUACAGAUAACCCUUCCACUACCUCGCAUUCAAUACAACCCUUCUUCAUCCAUGAUAGUGAUUCUACACCUAUAAAUAACAGAGCCAGCUUCGUUGAGAUGCAUCAAUUUCUCCUUCUCAAGCAUUAUAAUCCUUAGAGAUUCACUAACCAGCGAUGGCAACCUCAUCCGUUUUGAUCGCCAAUUUGAAUGUUGUCCGCUGUAACGUCACCGUCUACGUCCGUUUUCACUGAUGUCAUUCUCCGUUGAUCACGCUGUCAAGAGCAUCUCAACAAGCAAGAAGAAGCUAUGGCUAUUUCAUUGGUGGAAGCCGAUAAUCUGAUGGUAGAGACUUUAAAUAAAAUUGUAGAUCUGAAAGCUUUAUAUUUCAAUGCAUGAGUAGGGGCUAGAUAAUGCUAAUAAAUCUCCGCCGUAAGCGUAUAAUUGUGUCGGCGAUAUUGAUGGAAGAGAAGAGGAGAAGAGACAUCAUCAUAUUCUAAUGAUAUAUAUAGAUAUGUUCAUACGUAUAUAUCAAAUAUGAGAUUCUAUAAUAAAAGAUCUGGAGUAUCAUUUUGGUAUUAAAAAGUUUUAUGACAUGUGUAUGAAUAUAUAAAGAUUAUUAUCUAAUAUGUAUUCCUUCGUUCCAAAACUUCUUUUUUGGUUGUUCCAAAACUUUAGUCUUUGAUAUUCCAUAAAAAAAGAAUAUCUAAAAAUACAUUACCUCUUUGUAAAUCUAGGUCUCUUUUUUGUCUCUGCUUUGGCCUUUAAAAUAGAAUUUCAAACUUGCAUUCUCUGUUUACGUUUAGCAAGAAAAGGAACAACCUUUAGUUCUGACUUAUGUUGCUACACCUCGCUCAAGCUGGGGCAGAGUUAUUCCCAAUGGUUUAGGCUUACGUUGCGUAUUGAAAGUUAUGUUUCAACACUUAAUUUUUCUCUGUUUACGUUUAGCAAGAAAAGGAACAACCUUUAGUUCUGAAUUAUGUUGCUACACCUCGCUCAAGCUGGGGCAGAGUUAUUCCCAAUGGUUUAGGCUUACGUUGCGUAUUGAAAGUUAUGUUUCAACACUUAAUUUUAUAAAACUAUCUACAGUAUUGGUGUAAUAUCUUUUUUGGCUCAUGACAUGUGAAGCAAAUAGUGAUCAAGAUUUCCGAGUGAGACCUACUAUGCAUAUAUAACUCGCUAUAACAUUAGACAAGUCAUGGUCCUCUGUAAAUAUACGCUUACACUUUGAAGACGUGCUUCUCUUGGUUUUAAAAGGUAAAUUAUGAUCUCCAUAUUGUCAUUUGUACAUAUUGUGUUAUGUUGAAUGACUUUGUAUGUCUGACCUUUCGUAUUUGACGAGUUGCUGAAGGUAUUUAAAAAUGAAAACUAAGGCUAAGUUUUGAUAUUGAAAAUGGGCAAACCACCAUAUCUAGAGGGCUUCAUAACCACCAUAUCAAACAAAGGAACUAAAAAAGUAAGGUAAAUAUGAGUAAAUGAAAAAUAAAUUAUGGUAAAUUUAAGUUAAUUAUCUAUAUAAUAAAACCUAAGUACAAAAAUAUUAUUCAAAAAAUCAUCAAAUACAAAUAAAACAACAAUCAAUUACACUCUAACAAUUAACAAUAUUAUUUGUUUUAAAAAUCAUAAUCAGUUUGGAUGACAUUGAUUACUUGAUAGAAACAUUAAUAAGUAUGCAUAUCGUUAAAUAAUCAAUUUUAAAUUCUCAUGCUAUUUAAAUAAUUUAAGAAAAAUAAAAUUUAAAUUUAUUCAUUUUUCUCAUUAUAUACAUCAAUAAGUUUAAAAUUUAUGUAAUUCACCACCUACAGCUCAUCCACUCAAACAAUAAUAUAUUAUAUGAUACAACUUAAUAAUAUAGACACAAACAUCAAAAUAAAAUAUAUUUAAUUUUAACAUCAUAAUUCCUCCGCAUCCUAACAUUCUUAAAAUCGUUAUUAUACACUUCUUUUCUAAAAACUUACACAAAACACACGUAAAAAAUGUACAAUUAAAUAGCUAUAUAUAUGAUAAAAUUAAAUAGCUAUAUAUAUGAUAAGUAAAAUAUAUCUCGCCCGUAGGGCGGGCCGACCCUAGUUUGCCAUAAAUGAUAGUUUUUGUGUUAGACUUAUUUUUCAUGGCAGAUUUUGAAUAUCCGAUUUAAAUUUGUGAUAAACUUUUGUAUUUACGAAGUAGCAGAUUUUUAGACAAAAUUAUGGGUUUGAGUAAACCAAACUUAAAUCGACUUGGAUUAAAUCCGGUUUACUUUAAUUUUGAAUCUGGUUGAUUUAUAUAGUGUAAUUAAAACUAGAAUUAAGUUAUACAAAGUUUGUAACUGUCGUCCCCUUCAUCCCACUUUUAUUCAUUAUCAAAUUGCCUUCUUUCAUAGUAUUUUAAUCCUUGUUACUAUCUUUACUAGCAGCUUAACCCCGCGCAAGCGCGGGGUUGUUGACAUGGUUGUUGGUUCUUCUAUCUCAAAUUUCUGCAGGUGAUGAUCUCAAUGAAACUUUACUUUGUUAUACACAUAACGUAAUUGAGAAUUCAAGUUGAGAAAAUCCUAAGCUAUAAGUAAAUUUUAAGUUAUAAAAUUAUUUUUCUCUAUUUGUAUUUUACUAAGUGCACUAAUAUAAUUGUCAACACAGACCUUUUUCAAAAAAAGAAAAAAAAACAUACAAACCAAACUUAUUCUUAGGGACAAACACAUAAAUUAAAGACAGAGUUCCCAAAAAGACAAAAGAAUUAACAAAGUACAUGGCAGUGAAUAUCAUCAAUAAUCUCGAAGGUUAUCCCAGUCAUGUCAACUUCAAGCUUCUUAGUCUUUGACAGAAUCAAAGAAAACCUGAAGCAUCAACAAAAACACACAGGGACUCAAAUUAAAAAGAAAAAGUUAUCAAAUAGACGUAGAGAAGAAACUGAAGUACCUUACCAUGUAGUUGUCUGAAGAUGGCAAUGUGUGCACGUGCAUAAAAUGCAUGCGAGCUUCAUAAAUUGACUUCCCAAAAAAAUGUAAGAACUUCUUGGAUCAUUCGCAGAUGUGGAGUCUGUGCGUAUAAAGUAGCAUUUAACUCCUGUUGUAGAAAAGUCUUUCUUAUUUUUUUCUUUUCCACCAUCUUUGAAAACUAUUCACCAGAAUAAAGAAUAUUUAACAACGAAGAAGUGUAGUAUGUGUUGUGACAUGAACAGAAAAUAGAGAGGAAAGAGACCCACCAAACAAUUGAUAACGGCGUAACCCAAUCUUGAUACCAUUCUUGGCAAUCCUUUUGUAUGCAGAGUAAGGGUCUAUACUACAAGUUGACGAAUUUUUCUGGAGAUCCUCAAAUACGACCGUCAAAACAUUAUCAUCACCCAAGACCUUUUGCAAGUAUGUUCCAACGGGUUCAAGAGACAAGAAGAAGUCCCUGUCAAAACACUGUCUACAAGCACAUCGAGUCAAGGACUCUAUUGUCCUCACCAAGCUACUAUGUGUAAUAGACAUAAGAUAGAAACUUGCAAAAGAAUUGCUUCAACACAAAAGUACACAUGCAACAUGGGAAUAUAUGCAAACACAAAAUAUAAGAGUUGAAGAGUAGUGAAAUGAACCUUGAACGUGUAACUUCCAUCUGAAGCUACAUGACACUGGUAGUAAUGAUGAGUCUUGCCAGUGUCCCAAUCGAGUGACUGAAGAAACAGAAGAAGCAUGUAAGACCCCACAGUGAAAAAUAUGCAUGUAGUAGACUUUUGUUGUCAAUCCACCAAAUAGAACUCAAAAUCAGGCAGACAUACCAAUCUACGGUCAGUUGGGGAACAAUAAUCCUUUCCCAAGUGUUCCCAAACCGCAACUUCAAAUGCAACUAUAGACAAAUCCUUCCAUCCUUGGAUCUCUUCGGCAGUUAUUUUAACCUGACCCAAAUUUUUCAUGUUUAACAUCAAAAAGGUAACUCUUACCACAACUAAUCACUUAAAAUAGAUUAAACUGAUGACAAGAAAAGUAGAAAACUUGCAGGCACAAACACAUACCCAGGAAUGCCUUGUUAAACUCAAGUUCACUCAAAGCUAAGAGCUGAGGAAGAAUGUGCAGAGAUUCACCAUAGCUUUGUAUUCUCAAAGAAACAACAGAUAUCUCUUCUACAAUCAGAGCAACAAUCACAGUCAAUUACAAAUGAUACAAUAGAAAGACUCUGCUUUUGAUACUUUACCUUGAGGCUUUGCCGGAGAGCUUGAAAUAGUAAUCGUAAGCUUAGAGAGGACGAAGCGGUCGAGGUUGGACAUCACCCGGAAUUAAAAGCUUUCUUGAGCAAAUCGAAAGCUAACUCCGCAGGGAUCGAAGGAAGUCUCUGCCUCGACUCGUCGUUUAUGGGAGGACAUUUGUGCUUGCUGUAGAUUUUCUCCAACACGGUUUGAGCCUACUCGGAAGAACGCUCACUGAUCUCUGCGAAGUAGAACUUAUCAUUUUUUCUACCGUUACUUUCCAUGUCACUGCUUUCCCCUCUUCUGUAACUGAUCACUGGUUAAUCAGACAAAAUCGUGAGACAGACCACCAAACCUGGUAUUGUAGGUGUCGGCAAGACAUCAGUUUCAGGGUUGGUGUCGGCUUCAAGAGAGAUCUCCAUCACAGACAUCGGCUUCUCGGCAUCCAUAUCUUGCGGAUAAGAGGAUCCAAGCUCCAGCUCUCCAGAUUCCGAUCCAGGAUCCGAAACCGGUCCUUGAUUAUCAAUGGAACCUCGCUCGCCGAUGAAGACCCCGCCGUUUCCACCGUCGCCUACGUUAUAAAAAAAAACUGAUUUGAAACCAAAAGUAAAAGAAACUCAGAUUCGGACAAGAACUAACGUACAUAUUCAAUAGCGGUAUCGAUCUUGACCUUAGAUCGCUUGGUAAAGAGUGGAGAUGAUGAAGACGGUUCAAGAGAUGAAGAAGAAGAAGAACAGAAACGUCUGGAAGAUGAAGAGCUACGACUGGUCACAACCAUGUCCUUUUUUUCUCAUGAUUUUUUUUUUCAAUCUCGAUCUUGUUCCCGAUUGGCGAUAUAAGGAAAGAGACGGAAUCAAAAAUAUCAGAGUGACUUUAUGUAAAUGAGAAGAACAACAGAACCAAACGAAUCGUCUUCAUCAUAUCUAUGUGAUAACCAAACCGGACAGUAAAUCAUAUGUAUUUAAUAACUAAACAAAACGUGAUAACCAAACCGGACAUGGGACCCACAAAUAUAAAGGAACCGCUGACGUGGACACCUUUAGGAGCCUUGAAAGUGGCUCAUUAUAAUGUUGAUUUAUUUAUUAAACAAAAAUGGAUCACAUCACAUCAUUCUCGUAUGUGGAGAGUGGAAAGUUGAAAGAAUGAAGUGGUUAAUGAUCAAAGUAGCAAAUUCCUUGCUGCGAAUGAGGAAAUAGAUAUGAGGAUUUUGUGGAAAUCAUAUUUGAGGAAUACAGAGUUGAUUUUGCAGAACACGAGUUAGAACUGACGUACCUUUUGCCAAAAUGCACUCUCUUGAAGCAAAACCUCGAUACACCUCCUGUGAAAGUAGGCAACAGUACACAGUUUCAUGGAUUUCUUUCUCACAAAGUCGACAAAGUCGACAGAGGUUCAGUUCAAGGUGAAUAUCUCAACAACCAAAAGGUAUUUUUCCGUGAAUUAAAUUUUACAAGAAGUAUAACUCAUCAAGGAAUCAAUGAGGCUUAGAAUUACAAGAAAAUAUUCAUGGAGGAAGAAGUUAUGAAUUUUACAAACCAGAGGUUCCCCAACCCGUCCAUCUGCGAGUACCAGACUUUUGAAGAAGAUUCAAGCCCAAAGAAAAAGCGGUCUGAACCAAAGCCGAUCAUAGGAUUCAAGAUGUAUAUCUCAGUUUUACAGAAAGCCCAAUAUCAGGACAAAUGGCCACAGAAUUAUGAAAUUAUGAUCCAAUCUCCAGAACUGGCUAAACCAGUUCUACACUUGCCUCAAUUGGAAGCAAUUACUUCCAAGACUUUAAGUUCGAGUUUUUUUUGUUUUCCUUUUAUCAUUUUAUGACCGGUUCAAUCAGCUUCAAACCAGACAUUGGUGACCAAGAGAUCAAUUUAUACAUUCAGAAAGUCCAUCCAGUGAUCCAGAAGAGUCAGACAAGUCCGUUCCAUGCACCAGCAACCAUAGGAUCAGGAGGAUCCUCAUUAACCACAACUUUCCUUAUUGGGAUACAUUUACACUUGGAGCCAUAACUCAUCAAUGACCCAGCCAUAAAAGCUACAACGUUUUGGAGUCAUUACCAGCUUGUCUAGGAGCCCCAAGAUGUACCAGACUACACUGGAUCAGGCGGAUCCCAAUCAGACCAGAAGAGAGGCCCGGUUUGCUUACAUUGGCCAAACCAAUAUUAUUUAAGGAAUGUAUUCUACUCCUUCAGUUUGGUUCGACCCAAACUUAUCUAUGGAAGCCAGAACAUCAUCUAAACCAUCCAGAAGACAUCCAAGAAAUCCUUAGCUUCACCAGCACCUAGGAGAUCAGGCGGAUCUCUCUCUCUAUCAACAUUCCAUAUAUGGCAACAUUUACACUAAAUGCUUUGGAGGAGUUUCUACAGAUUUUUGCCCAACGACCAUAUUCUCUUUUAUUGAGACCAAGGAGUAUUUCAGGAAGGCUUGAAGAUCAUGGCCACGUCCAGAAGCUAUCAAGAUACAAGUCUUCACAAGUUUCUCUUUUGGAAGAAAGAAAUUCAAGCAUAACGGCUAUAUUCCAUGGAGCCAUCAAAGCCUUUGCUUCCGAGACUUUAAGUUCGAGUUAUUUUGUUUCCUUUUAUCAUUUUAUGACUGUUAGGGUCUGUCUUUGUCGAACCUAUAAAGUUCUAGUCUUUGCUUCAAUGAAAAUCACCCAUUUUGAAAGUAUUAUGAAAUAUUCAGUUUUCUAGUUUUCUUAUAAGUAUUGUUCUAAGUCUUUAGAGUGUUGUGAGAAACAGCUCCAGAGCAACCAGACUUAUCAAAGAUUCCUUCCAUAGAUCUUUGUGGUGUCUAUCAAUCCAUUUCGUCCAUCCCACCCAAUUGCCAAGCUUGAGAGUGAUACACAUCCAGCAAGCAAAGCACCAUCUCAAUCCACUUCGAUCAUCCUAUCCUUUGUUUAUUUAUCUUGUUUUGUUCUUAGUAUAAACCGCAUCUCAUUGCAUUUGCAUUUGUUUCAAGUUUACAUCUCGGAUUUCAUUCAUAUCGCCCAUCCGAUCAUAUAUUUGGCCGAUCCAUCAAGCUUCCAUCAUCCAUCUUGCCAAUCCUGAUUUCCAGCCUGUAUCAUAAAGACACAAGAAAGAUAUUCUCCACAGAAUAAGUUUGACUUGGCUCCUUCAAAUUUGACGUGGGACAAAGUUUUGAUUCAAAAGAUGCAUUGGAAACACGUCCAAAGAUUUUUUCAGUUGUCCAACAUUUCUAUUUUGAUGUGGAAAAAUCUACGCAUAAACUUUUUGUAAAAUGUUGGAUAAAAGGAUGUACGUGGAAGCUUAGAGCCACAAACAUUCCUGCUAUGUAAUAGAACGUUCAUCUCGUUUUUGACAUGCUACUUCUGAAAUUCUUGGACUCCUGUACAAAGACUAUAUUGGUGGGGUUGAUCCAACUAUUUUGCCACGUCAUGUUGCUAGUGCUAUGAACAUGAGCUUCAUAAUAAAGGUUAAUUGACUACAUUUUUGCAACGGAUUUACUGUAUUUUCUGACCUUACUUCCUUUUAAAUGGGUUGGUGUCUAUCGUAUAUCGCCGAUGGAUUACUAGAAAGCUCAUCAUACACUUAAUUGCUAGAGAUAUCGUAGUGGGUUCUUUAGAGAGUGGAUACGAGGAAUCACCUACUUACCUAUACAUGAUUAGAAUGACAAAUCCUGGAACUUUAACUGGACUGGAAGUUGAUGCAGAAUAUAGAUUUAAGUACUUAUUCCUUGUUUGUAACGCUAGCAUUAUUGGCUUGAGAAAGUUGUGGUGGUAGAUGGUGUUUUCUCGCAAGGAAAAUACAAAGAAAUGUUUCUCAUUGCAACAUCACAUGAUGUUAAUUUUCAAAUACUUCUAAUUUCAUUUGUUGUGAUUGACACAGAAAAUGAUGAAUCAUGGACAUGGUUUUUCCGCCAACUCAGCCGUGUGAUACCCGAUGAUAAAAGAUUGACAUUAAUUUCUGAUAGGCACAAGUCAAUAGGGAAAACUAUUGCAGUGGUCUAUCCAUUGGCAAGCAUGAGAAUUUGCACGUACCACUUAUAUAAAACAUCUUGUUACGGUACACAUGGCGUGAUUUGGUUGGGUUUGUCAAACUCCCCCCCCCCUCCCAAAUCUUUUAGGUUAACUAACUUUCAAGUAACCUUCAAAACGACAAAAGAGUUAAAUCCAGCUUUUCAUGCAUAUUUGGAUCGUGUUGAUGGUAUAUAAGUGGGCAUAAACUUAUUUUAGAGGUGAUAGAUAUAACAUCACUACAAGUAACAUAACUGAAUCGAUAAAAAUAACUUUGCCAUAUGCGAGAAGAUUGCCAAUUAUUCGCCUUUCAGAUCAAUCCGAUUAAUGAUGAUAUUCUGGUUGCGUCAAGAAAACAUGAUGAUGACUUGAUGAAAGCCUCUCUAACUCGUGGUGUAGAGAAGUUGUCGGAGGUAAUAUAUUUAAAAUCAGGUUAUGUAUUUCAGUGGGUUACUUUCUAAUCUACUAAACUCUUACAUUUGCAUGACCGUAUACAUCGACAUUCAUCAAUCAUAAGUGAUAGAAAUCGCAUCUUUAUAUGUUGUAAAUUUUAUAGAAAAAAUCAUGUUCUUCACGUAAGUUUGACUUAGAGAAGCCACCAUGUGCUCAUGCUAUUAUCACUUUGCCAUUAUUAUUAUCGGAAACAAUGCCUUUACAAUGCAUAUUUCACUGAUUUAAUGUCCAAAGAUGAUACUGUUCUAAUACAAGAAUAAGUGAGAAAGAAAAUAUGUUUACCAACUGACAUCUGUAAACCACUGAAUAAACAAAAAAAAAGAAAUCAAAACAUAAAUCUAUUUUGAAGAAAAUUGCUAUAAAAAGUUCAAACAAACAAAGAACACAUGUAAAAUUGGUGUUAAAAAAAACACAUGUAGAAUUGUAACCCGAUAAGACAUAAUGCUAAAACAUGUUCGUAUACCAAUGUCAAAAGUAACUUUAUAAAAGGUGAAAGGAAAGGCUCAGUUCAGCGGGAUUAUCGACACAUAAACGAAUCUCCAAGUUAAAUGAAGAAACGCCUAGUUCCGGUUGUAAGUGCAAAGAUGACACCACAAUUAAGUAAUGCAGAAGAUAAAUCAAGAGACAAAAUAGAUACAAGCAACCAACUAUGCUUUAUUAGAAAUCACCUAAACAAUCUAUUACAAGACUUGCUUAUCAGCUUUUACACGUCAGUGUUAACACCCUGACACACGUUACUGACAUAUUCCUAAUCUACCCAAACAUGUCUCUUUCCCGUCAGUACUUCAGCAUCUGAUUCAGCACGACCCAAGAACACCACUAAGGGAUUUUCACCCUUCCUCUAUAAUAAUAGCCAGUGUCUUAUGGAAUACAGACGACUCCAUAGCUCUUUUAUAGUGAUCUCCACGUUCCUGAAACCCUAGUUUCCAAGACAACAUGAAUAUGGACAACUUCCAUAUCAAUAAGUACACUUUCCUUUUCUUGAAUUGUACUUAUUCCUCAAGGCAUAAACUUGCUCCCCAAGUUUAUCUCUUGCCUUUUUCUCCACGGUAUAAAUUUGCUCCUCAAGUUUAUUUCACGCCAGCUCAGCCUCUUGCGUCCACAUGGUCUCUACCACUCCGCAUGCCUCCUGGUUCACUCUCUGACACACACUGCCUCAGCAACUACUUCAACGACUACGUCAAGACAUAAACCUCCAAUUUAUCCUUCUCCAUCUCACCAUCUCUUGCAUCCACAUGGUAACCCACCACUCCGCAUGCCUUAUGUAGUAAUGACUAAUGCCUCCAGCAUCAGUGACUUCGUCGCCUAGUUAGUCACGGAAGACCAUUGACAUCUACAAGCUCCACUUGCAUCUUCACCGGUCUGUUGAGCUUGAAUAUUUCUGAGUCGUCACUGCCUUCUCAGUUAAUUUGGUUUAAUAGUUUUAGAAAAUCCACAUGUACAAUACAAUAUUUCCGAGUCGUCAUUUCACGAACCCUAUAACGGCUAUUUAGAUGGCAAACUAGGCAAAGUUCAAUAUUAAUGUAACAUCAAUAAUAGAUGGCUCAGUAUAAAAUAUGGUAGGGAAAUUCUCAGGACAAAGAUCCUUUUACAGAUCUAAAUCAGAGUGGUGCAUGACUAUCUCAAAUUGCUCAUCACUGCCACAUAGUUGUUUAUCAUAAUUAAAUAACAGAGAAAGAAAUGUAGGUGUCAUGGCCGGUCCCAAAAGGUAAAGGCAGCAACGCCGCUCCACAAGGCAAUGGAAUAUGAGACCUUAACGGCGAUUGCUUCAGACGGAGAAGCCUCUUUAAAGGCUCCUUCUACGUCUUCCACUGCCUUUUUUUUUUUUUUCCACUGCUGUUUUUAUUUUCUUUUUGACGUUUACUUUAGGGUUUUGCAACAACAAAGCUUUCAAAUUGCCCCUUUAUCAAGUAACCCGUCAGGUCUCAUAACAAGAGACAAAACAUGAGGGAAACAUUAACGAGAGACAAAAACGAAUUGGAGACAGGGGAGGAAAAUGUAUGAAAAACUGAUUAUAUGCGUAGCACUAUUUAUAUGACAUACGGAGCAAAACCCUAAUCCCGUGAUUAGAAAAUUUUAAGCCCAUAAUUUAGUCAAUACUUUAUCCAACCUAAAUAAAGAUUGGGACCAUUUUAAAUUGGCCCACACAAAAGAGGAGAAUCACACAAUAAGUAGUGUGCUUUCAUUGAGAGUUGAACUCAAGACCUCCCGCUUACUAAACGGGUGCUCUAACCAACUGAGCUAUGAAAGCUUGUUGUUACUGAUAGCAAACGAGCAUUAUAUUACAUGGGUUCCAAAGUUUUUAAUUUUUUUCAUUAACAACUAAGAUAUCAUAAUAACGUCUAUAUACUUUUAAAUGGUCGAACAGAAAUUCAGAAGUAACACUAAGAGCAACACCAAUGUUAAAAUUCUCAAAAAGGAGUUCUUGAAAAUAUAAUAUUAUAUUUUAAUUAGUUUUUUUUUUUUCCAUCAAGAGUUAUAUUAUAAAUUGAAGGGCCAAGCCCAAAAUUACAAAGCCCAGCCAAAAGGCAAACAUGAAACAUAAAACAAGGCCUCAAGCCCACAUCGGAAACCCUAGAAUCUACUAACGACAGGGUCACCGCCGCUCCCGUGAGCCACCGUCUCGAACCACAACGAGACCCCCGCAACGCGCUAAAACCCCCGGUGAAACAUCCAUCGAUCGAUCCACCGGUACACACCCGAGCUCGACAGCUCCAUAUCAUCGUCACUGCAACCGCCUUCAACCCAGAGAUUCUAUCAUCGGAGAGAUCGAUCGCACAUGCGAGAUCACCUCCGCUACCAUUGAUCACCACCACCAAGAAGAAGGCUACACACAAACAUCUCCAAAUACCACCGGAGAGCCUCGAUCGUCUUCAGACGAGAGCUCCUCCAUCAGAACAACACCGACAUCACAAACCAAAAAAAACCUAAAACGGAACUAGGUAAACCCGAGAGCCGGCGACGCAAGGCAAAGAACACCUUCACCCCCCGGAAGCUAAAGCCGGCGAAAGCGGAGCUGAGGAAGCCUCCGCCUCCCGGAAACAAGGCCGGCGGCAAUGGAGCUCUAGAAGCCUCCACCUCCCGGAAACAAACCCUAAUCUAAACAGCCUAUUUCCUCACACCGAACCCCACCCAAUCACGUCGUUACUCCACCCGCAGCACCACCGAUGAUGUCGUAACACUCUUCGAGGUGUCGACGACGGACAAGGUCCGGACCAGAGCUCCAACCAAGCGAAAGAGGGAGACCGCGUUGGAAAGGCAGGGGAACUCUUUCAGCGGGAGCGCGAAGGGCUCCGGCGACGGCACGGAUGCUCACGCGCCGGCCGUACGCCGGACCCGUCCAUUAGAUCUACUUUCUCUCUCUGUGUGUUUUCUCUCUCUUCUCUCAUAUUUUAAUUAGUUUUGUUUAAAUAAUUAAAUUUUAAUCUUAACUAAAUACAUAAGCUAGUAAGAUAAUGAGAAGUGGAAAGGGGAUUUUACUGAGAUUCUCAAAAGUUUUUCUAUGAGAACUUAUGGUGUUCUUUCUCCAAUUUCUCUUCUUUUUCUCUUUUUUAAAAAUGUUUAGAUACUCAAUGAGAUACGUCCACUGGAGGUGUUCUUAUAUACAUCACCAAAACUAAAGGAUAAAAAAUAUUAUGAAUUUAUGCAUACAAUACAACCUAGUUUUCAUACCAAGCAAAUAUAUUUACAAACUGAACAUACAAUAAAACUUUAUGUCUUAAAUUUUAUCCAUCUCUAUCCAGAAAAAGAAACUUUGAUGAUACAUAGAAUUUGAAGACGACG